rnacentral:lncRNA from 1 species
CCUUCUCUCCUACAAAGGUAAAUGUGUUAUUUCCAUUACAACAUUACAUGGUCACUUGGAGGUGGGUCCGGCUUACGAUCGUAUCCGAAUCUGGCCGUUACCAAUAUGAUCACCUGUGGGCUUCCUGUUCAAACAUAGGUCGUAUUCGAACCAAAGAGAACAUAGCUGUCGAUACCCACUUGAUUGGAAAAUCGUCGAGCUCAUUGGGGAGUUUUUCUUGAUCAUAUUUGAAUCAUAGCUCAACCCCCUUUGGGAACCGACGUGGAUCGUAUUCGAAUCAGCGUCGUUAAACAACUCUCAAGGUCAUUUGGGGGCUUCCUGUUCACACAUAGGUCGUAUUCGAACCAAAGAGAACAUAGCUGUCGGUACCCUCUUGAUCGGCAACGCCAACACCACUGGGGGCUAUAUGAUCGCAUUCGAAUCUUAGCUUAACCCCUUUGGGAUGGUUCUCUGGUCGUAUUCGAAUCAGAAGCCCUUAAGUUUUGAUCUUUUGGUUCGCAACAAGUUGUUUUGAUCAUAUCAACAGUGUGCAAGGGUGUUUCUUGCUCCGCCGGCUUAACUUUGAUUAACAAUGUUGAUAGCACAUAGUAAGCAUUCGAUGCUGGUGAACCGGAGUUGAGUUCUCAACCUCAUUAUUUGGGUUACAUAAACGGGAAGUAUACUUGAAGGCUUGUAAGUAUGCUAUUAUGGUUACAUCGAGGAUAUAAUUGAGGGCCAGUCUUUGGUGACUUUGGUUCAUGUUCUGGGUUAUAUAUAAAGUAUAUGACUCUCAGUGCGGUAAGCCGCCUAGGGACUUGUGACUUGUUUUCUAUGCAGGACGAUUAAAGAUAGUUCUUUAACUUAAGGAAAGUAGAUGGUCAAACAUAACCCGGGGGAAUAUAAAGAAGCAGCUUCAAUGGAGUUAAGCAUUCAACACGUGCACGAUGGCACGACAAAAUUAACUGUUUGUCCUACUCUAUUACAAGACUCCCCGAGUCCAAAGGUGAGGCAUUGUUUUUAAGGUGUAACCAUGAGCCGCCUAAAAAAUCAAGGUGCUUGUUGGGUCGAAGCUUCCAGCUCAUCCCUCUCCGCUCCUCCGGCUGUUCCCAUGACCUGGAAGGUUGAUGAUUUCCAGUCAAUGCCGCUCAAAGCUUCAAAUUGAGCCUCAUCAUCAAUUAACCCGGCCGGGUCAACUUCUGGGGCGAAGGUGUGCUUACGAGUCGGCGGGAUCAGGCUGACUCCUUCAUAGCGUGGAGUUCGGAUCCUCUGAUUCUCCGCAUCAUAACCCGGCUAAUACUUGGUAAGAUUUGUGUCAUUCCCAAUCAUGGUAGCCACCGGGCGCACGCUUUUCACACAGGCGGCAAAGUCUUUUUGGUCGAAGCGGGUCCCGUCUUCCUUCAGGCUGGGGUAUCCAAGAGCGAUGUCGGCCGGGUCUAGCUCCGGGAGAAAAGCCUUGGCCCGGCUCAGAGCAGCUAUAGCUCCGGCUCUUGCAGAGGCCCGUCUUAGCUCUUGGACACGCUGAGGAAGAACGGCAAGCCGCCUGAGUACGUCCGCCAAGUGAGUCGGAACCUCAUUGGACAGAGCCACAACGGCUAAAGCACGCUGUGACCCGGUGUAGAGUUGCUCCACCGUGGUGUACACAGCCUUCAGCUUGGUCAGAACAUUCUGAUUACUGUUGGAGCUUCUGGGGCCUGUAUAACAAAGUCAGGUGAGCUGAUGGCAAUGGUGGGACUUAUAAGACAUAAAGAAUGUAACCUUGUUAAAAGCUUGCAGAAUGACUUACCGAAGAUUGCGGAGACCAUCUGUGACACAUGGCGUUUUAAGCUGGAGAGUUCGCCGGUUCUCUCAGUCAGAGCAGCCUCCGCUUGUUCGGCCCGGCUAAGCAAGGCAUUUUUCUCCUCGGCCCAAGUCUUUCUUUCUGUUUCAAAUUUCUUCUUUAGUUUUUCUUGUGCAGCAACACUGAACUCAAAUUUGGCAUUGGCCUUCCGGGUCUCAGUUUCCUGAGUCUUCAGGCGGUUCUUCAGCUCAGAGAUUUCAGAUUCAAAUUUCUUGCAGACAGCCUGUACAAAUUCCGGGUUACAGUUUGAGUAAUUAUCAUGCAACACUAAAGUCCCAAGCACUUUGCAAGCAAAGACACUUGGCACUUGGGGGCUAAUGUAUGCUGAACGAUUCUAUUUAUAAUUGCCGGUUCAUGAAGGUAAGCCGGAAGUUAAGUCUACAACGUAUUCUAUCAUAAGUAAUAGACUUGGGGGCUAGCAUGGUAAGGAUGACUAUGGAGUAAGCAAGAGAGUUGUACCUCAGACUUUUGCUGUAUCUGCUUUACCAUGUCAAUCUGCAGGUCCCGGCUGUUGUGCACUUGACCAAUGUAACCAGAAACAAUGUCUCCAAUGCUCAAGUUAGCAUAGUCAGUGAUCUCCAGUCUGGCCCUGCGGCGCUCCAGCAGUUCUUCUUUGGCAGAGCAUCUGGCCAGCACAGUGGGUCUUCCCGGCUCAACAUAUUCGGUCCGGGUAAUCACCACAUCCGGGUCAUCGGCCGGUUGAGCUGAGCUGGGAAUCUCCGGGUUAUUAGAACCCGCCAUGGUUUGUUCUUCAGUUGAAGCGGCGGUUUCCGGAGCUGGUGCAGAUGGCGGCUCAGAGGCAGAGGCGUUGGGUUCAGUUAAGUCCGGCUCUUCGACCGGUUUAUUUUUCUUUGCUCUCUUGCUGAGCUUGGCUUGGGCACUGAAAGUCAAAAGGUUAGUACAAAAAAUAUAAAUAAGAUAAGCACAAAAUGAGAUGAUCAUCAUUACCCGGGUGCGGUCUUGAAAGCCGGCAGGUUAGAUUGCAUGGAGUCACCAGAGGAAGGUGAAGUUUCCUGAUAGUUUGAAUCAGAUGAAUUGAGUGGUUGACGAGUGACGCCCGCUAAAGGAUGAAAAGGGUAUAAGUUGGAGAUAACCUCAGUCCGGCGCUUCCUUGAUGCUUCAGGUAAGCCGGAGGAGAGGUCUGCAUCCUUGUUGGUCCGGGUGUGUCUCCGGCUGUCAUGAAUCUGUCGCUUCAAAAGAAAUUGAGGAUCUUGAUAAGCUAAAGGAUGUGAAAAUCUUACUUUCCGGGUUACUCUUCGGACUUUCAGCCUUGGCAAGGGCUCCGGGUCGGAGGAAAGUAUAGUUACCUCUUCAAUCACCGGGUUACUCGCUCCGGUAUCAUCCUGCUGAUAAUCAGUGUCAAUAAGGUGGUUAAAAACAGACGAAAAACAAAAGAAAUGCCUGAAGAAUCAAGGGCUACCUCUGACUCGGAGCUAUCAUCCAACUGAAGCAGCUCUGAGGCGCUAGGCUUACUCCCCUUCUUGCGGGGAGCGGCUCUCCUAGCGGCUUUUUUAGCCUUCCUGGCUUUUUAGCAGCCUCAUGGUCAUACUUGACCUUCCAGAACUUGUCAUUGGCCUAAAAAAAUGCAACAAAGGUUUCCUUGAAGUUAAAACGAAAAUUGUUAAAAUGGAAAGUAAAGUGCUCAGAUCGGUAGCUUACCGCCGGAGCCGGGUUAGCUUGGCAGAAGGGGCUUAGGCCGGUCCUCCCGCAGUCUGCUAAGCUCUCGUUCAAGAGGGACUUGGUCCUGUCGUCAACGACGUCCUCAGGUAGGUCGUUGGGGCUGUGCCGCAGAGGAUCAUCCUUCCGGACCGUGUAAUCACACAUUAAGCCGGGGCGGCGGCUCAAGGGAAUCACCCGCCAAGCAAUCCAGACCCGGACCAGAUCAACGUUGUUAAGGCCAUUUCCCAGAAGAGCCUUAAUCUUGUUGAUGGUGGGGAUCAGUGGUUGACGCUCAGCUUGAGAUAGUUUGUCUGGCAGGGGGUGAUUUGGCUCCAGACGCAGGGCACGAAAGCCAGGCAGAGGGUUCUCAUCAGCCGGAGAAGUAUCUUGGCAGUAGAACCAUGUCUAGUUCCAGUCCUUUGGGUGGCUUGGCGGCUCAGCAUAAGGAAAGAGGCAAUCUCUCCGUCGUUGAAUGGAGAUUCCGCCAAGUUCCAAGCUGGGCCCGUUGGCGCAUUCAUUCUGGCGGUUCAAGUAAAAUAACUCCCUAAAGAGUAGCAGGCUGGGUUCCUCUCCAAGGUAUACCUCACAAAACACUUGAAAGUUACAAAUGUUCGACACGGAAUUGGGUCCAAUGUCUUAAGGUCGCAGAUCGAAAAAGUUCAGAACGUCUCUAAAGAAUUUUGAGCCGGGAGGAGCAAAGCCCCGGCUCAUGUGAUCAGCAAAUAACACAACCUCUCCGUCUCUUGGUUGAGGUCUUUCUUCGGACAGGUCAGGGGCACGAUAGGACAUGACCUCCUUUUUAGGCAGGUAACCCGUCUUCACGAAAUCAUCUAAGGUAUCAUCAGUAACAUUGGAUCUCAUCCAGUUGCACGUAAUGGGUGCCUUGGGAGCCUUGGGCGGCAUUGUGAAAGAUGAAAGCCUAUGACAAAAGGAAAUGUCCGGUUCAAAUAUAAGCCGGAGGAAGAUUACAGUUCAGUAUUCAAGAUGGCGGCUUAUGAAGGGGCCUAAUGAUAUAUGGCUAAUUGUGUCGGGUUAUCUAAGCCGCUGUGGGCAUCAUGAGUAAUUCAAGUUGUUUAAAAAAUCUGAGAUAAAUGAGCCGGAAAUUUCACAGCGCAUGGCCUCUUUUAAGCCAGAGAUAUGAGCCGCCAUAGCUAACAGAUGCAAUUUUUGACUAAGUGUGGCACAAACAAGUUUCACAGAUCGCAGUAAUUAUUUUGGAUCAAACGAUCGUCUAGAAAGGAAAAUUUUCUAGACCUAGAAAGCUGAUACAGAGAAGUUCAUAGGCUCAGAACGAGGUCUUUUUGUGCCAUAGGGGAUCUACUAGCAUAAAAACGAGUGAGAAACUACUACCGCAGGGAGUCUAUACCUUUUUAGAUCAAAGGGAACCUCGGCGGCAGAACUGUGAAGAACUUGAGAUGAACAGCGAAGAACAGGGGAAGAACGACAGAACCCUAAUGCGGAUCUACUGUAGGGAGGUGCAAGGACUUACCGGCGCUGAUGAGAUGCGGAGGUCGCCGUCGUUUCUCUAGACCAGUUCAGGGUGAUGCAGCGGCCAAGGUUGAGGAAGACAAGGGGCGCGGCGGCGGCGGCGGAGCUCGAGCUCUCGGGCGUCAGAGGAGGAAGACGAUGGAAGAGAGGAGUGAAUGAAGGCUUAUGGGCCGGGCCUAUUUAUAAGGGUGACUGAUAAGUGGGCGCGAGAAACGAGGAGGCCAAGACGUGAUUAUCUUGCCACAGAAACGCCUUGAUUUUCGGGAUGGUCAUUAAAGAUAAGAUCCGUUGGGAUAUGACAGAAUAAAAAAUGAAUUUAAUGGAAGAUCACGUCACGGCGGGUUACCAAGAAUCCAGAAGAUGACGUCACGGCGGGUUAUAACUUUCGCACAAGCAGAAGCUGGAAGAUUUCUUUCCAAGGGAUUGAAGAUUGACAUGAACCGGUUCAAAUCAAUCUGGGGCCUAAUGUUGAGGAUAUAACCAUUAGAGUCACCCGCCCAGGAGGGGCCGGGUUACGUCAUAAUGAUCAUCACGUGAAGCCCAAUACCAAGCUUGAGGAUGGCGGAUCAAUAAUGGGCUUAAGACCCGGAGGCGGCUUAAGGCCCGUAGUGAUAACCCGCCGUUAUGGCAAGACUUGUAAUGUAAGGCAAGAGUAGUUAAGAGUCCGAGCCGGAUACUGUUAUAAGCCGGCCGGGACUCUGAAAGCCGCGGGGCGUCAACCUCUCUAUAUAAAGGGACGACCCGGCGGCGGUUCAGGAUGAGAGACAACAGAUCGAGAGCUGGGCAUAGCGAUUAAGCUCCCUGGUCAUCGAAACCCUAAGUAAUACCACCUCAACUGGACGUAGGCUUUUACCUUCACCGUAAGGGGCUGAACCAAUAUAACCCUCGUGUUCCUUGUCCCGUUUAGCCCCUUUAAGCUUCCUAGCGGCGAAGGCUCCACGACUAAGUCCUUGCAUGAGGACAUCUGCCGUGACAAUUCCACGACACCCUCCUUUCCACUAAAGCCCAUUAAGGCCCAUAUACCUCCCGGGGGGUUCCGAUAACCUCCCAGUGCUCCGGUAUUAUCCCGAUCUCACCCGGAACCAUUCCGUUAUCCAAAUAUAGUCGUCCAAUAUAUCGAUAUUUACGUCUCGACCAUUUCGAGACUCCUCAUCAUGUUUGUGGUCACAUCCGGGACUCUGAACUACCUUCGGUACAUCAAAACACAUAAACUCAUAAUAUAACCAUCAUCGAACUUUAAGCGUGCGGACCCUACGGGUUCGAGAACUAUGUAGACAUGACCGAGACACGUCUCCGGUCAAUAACCAAUAGAGGAACCUGGAUGCUCAUAUUGGCUCCUACAUAUUCUACGAAGAUCUUUAUCGGUCAAACCGCAUAACAACAUAUGUUGUUCCCUUUGUCAUCGGUAUGUUACUUGCCCAAGAUUCGAUCGUCGGUAUCUCAAUACCUAGUUCAAUCUCGUUACCGGCAAGUCUCUUUACUCGUUCUGUAAUACAUCAUCUCGCAACAAACUCAUUAGUUACAAUGCUUGCAAGGCUUAUAGUGAUGUGUAUUACCGAGUGGGCCCAGAGAUACCUCUCCGACAAUCGGAGUGACAAAUCCUAAUCUCGAAAUACGCCAACUCAACAAGUACCUUCGGAGACACCUGUAGAGCACCUUUAUAAUCACCCAGUUAUGUUGUGACAUUUGGUAGCACACAAAGUGUUCCUCCGGUAAACGGGAGUUGCACAAUCUCAUAGUCGUAGGAACAUGUAUAAGUCAUGAAGAAAGCAAUAGCAACAUACUAAACGAUCAAGUGCUAAGCUAACAGAAUGGGUCAAGUCAAUCACAUCAUUCUCUAAUGAUGUGAUCCCGUUAAUCAAAUGAGAGCUCAUGUCUAUGGCUAGGAAACAUAACCAUCUCUGAUUCAACGAGCUAGUCAAGUAGAGGCAUACUAGUGACACUCUUUUUGUCUAUGUAUUCACACAUGUAUCAAGUUUCCGGUUAAUACAAUUCUAGCAUGAAUAGUAAACAUUUAUCAUGAAAUAAGGAAAUAAUAACUUUAUUAUUUCCUCUAGGGCAUAUUUCCUUCAGUCUCCCACUUGCACUAGAGUCAAUAAUCUAGUUCACAUCGCCAUGUGAUUUAACACCAAUAGUUCACAUCACCAUGUGAUUAACACCCAUAGUUCACAUCGUCAUGUGACCAACACCCAAAGGGUUUACUAGAGUCAAUAAUCUAGUUCACAUCACUAUGUGAUUAACACCAAAAGAGUACUAAGGUGUGAUCAUGUUUUUGCUUGUGAGAGAAAUUUAGUCAACGGGUCUGCCACAUUCAGAUCCGUAUGUAUUUUGCAAAUUUCUAUGUCAACAAUGCUCUGCACGGAGCUACUCUAGCUAAUUGCUCCCACUUUCAAUAUGUAUCCAGAUUGAGACUUAGAGUUAUCUGGAUCAGUGUCAAAACUUGCAUCGACGUAACCCUUUACGACGAACCUUUUUUUCACCUCCAUAAUCGAGAAACAUAUCCUUAUUCCACUAAGGAUAAUUUUGACCGAUGUCCAGUGAUCUACUCCUAGAUCACUAUUGUACCCUCUUGCCGAACUCAUGGUGAGGUACACAAUAGGUCUGGUACACAGCAUAGCAUACUUUAUAGAACCUAUGACUGAGGCAUAGGGAAUGACUUUCAUUCUCUUUUCUAUUUUCUACCGUGGUCGGGUUUUGAGUCUUUACUCAACUUUAUACCUUGCAAUACAGGCAAGAACUACAUCUUUGACUGUUCCAUUUUGAACUACUUCAAAAUCUUGUCAAGGUAUGUACUCAUUGAAAAAUCUUAUCAAGCGUCUUGAUCUAUCUCUAUAGAUCUUGAUGCUCAAUAUGUAAGUAGCUUCACCGAGAUCUUUCUUUGAAAAAAUUCUUAUUCAAGUAUCCUUUUAUGCUAUCCAGAAAUUCUAUAUCAUUUCUAAUCAACAAUAUGUCAUCCACAUAUAAGAUUAGAAAUGCUACAGAGCUCCCCCUCACUUUCUUGUAAAUACAGGCUUCUCCAAAAGUCUGUAGAAAACCAUAUGCUUUGAUCACACUAUCAAAACGUUUAUUCCAACUCCGAGAGGAUUGCACCAGUCCAUAAAUGGAUCGCUGGAGCUUGCACACUUUGCUAGCAUCUUUAGGAUCGACAAAACCUUCUGGUUGCAUCAUAUACAACUCUUCUUUAAGAAAUCCAUUAAGGAAUGCAGUUUUGUUUAUCCAUUUGCCAGAUUUCACAAAAUGCAGCAAUUGCUAACAUGAUUUGGACAGACUUAAGCAUCGCUACGAGUGAGAAAAACUCAUCUUAGUCAACACCUUGAACUUGUCGAAAACCUUUUGCGACAAUUCGAGCUUUGUAGAUAGUAACACUACUAUCAGCGUCCGUCUUCCUCUUGAAGAUCCAUUUAUUUUCUAUGGGUUACCGAUCAUCGGGCAAGUCAACCAAAGUCCACACUUUAUUUUCUAUGGGUUACCGAUCCCAUCUCAGAUUUCAUGGCCUCAAGCCAUUUUGCGGAAUCUAGGCUCAUCAUCGCUUCCUCAUAGUUCGUAGGUUUGUCAUGGUCAAGUAACAUGACCUCCAGAACAGGAUUACCAUACCACUCUGGUGCAGAUCUCACUCUGGUUUACCUACGAGGUUCGGUAGUAACUUGAUCUGAAGUUACAUGAUCAUCAUCAUUAGCUUCCUCACUAAUUGGUGUAGGAGUCAUAGGAACAGAUUUCUGUGAUGAACUACUUUCCAAUAAGGGAGCAGGUACAGUUACCUCAUCAAGUUCUACUCUCCUCCCACUCACUUCUUUUGAGAGAAACUCCUUCUCUAGAAAGGAUCCAUUCUUAGCAACAAAUGUCUUGCCUUCGGAUCUGUGAUAGAAGGUGUACCCAACUGCCUCCUUUGGGUAUCCUAUGGAGAUACAUUUCUCCGAUUUGGGUUUGAGCUUAUCAGGAUGAAACUUUUUCACAUAAGUAUCGCAACUCCAAACUUUAAGAAACGACAACUUUGGUUUCUUGCCAAACCACAGUUCAUACGGUGUUGUCUCAAUGGAUUUAGAUGGUGCCCUAUUUAACGUGAAUGCAGCUGUCUCUAAUGCAUAACCCCAAAACGAUAGUGGUAAAUCGGUAAGAGACAUCAUAGAUUGCACCAUACCUAAUAAAGUAUAGUUACAAUGGUCGGACACACCAUUAAGCUGUGGUGUUCCAGGUGGCGUGAGUUGCGAAACUACUCUGCAUUGUUUCAAAUGAAGACCAAACUCGUAACUCAAAUAUUCUUCUCCACGACCAGAUCGUAGAAACUUUAUUUUCUUGUUAUGAUGAUUUUCCACUUCACUCUGAAAUGAAGUUCAGAAAAUAACGAUACCCGCCACGAGCAUCAACACUCAUUGGACCGCAUACAUCGGUAUGUAUUAUUUCCAACAAGUCAGUAGCUCGUUCCAUUGUUCCGGAGAACGGAGUUUUAGUCAUUUUGCCCAAAAGGCACGGUUCGCAAGCAUCAAAUGAUUCAUAACCAAGUGAUUCCAAAAGUCCAUCUUUAUGGAGUUUCUUCAUGCGCUUUACACCGAUAUGACCCAAACGGUAGUGCCACAAAUAAGUUGCACUAUCAUUAUCAACUUUGCAUCUUUUGGCAUCAAUAUAAUGAAUAUGUGUAUCACUACGAUCGAGAUCCAACAAACCAUUUUCAUUGGGUGUAUGACCAUAGAAGGUUUUAUUCAUGUAAACAGAACAACAAUUAUUCUCUAACAUAAAUGAAUAACCGUAUUGCAAUAAACAUGAUCAAAUCAUAUUCAUGCUCAAUGCAAACACCAAAUAACACUUAUUUAGGUUUAACACUAAUCCCGAAAGUAUAGGGAGUGUGCGAUGAUGAUCAUAUCAAUCUUGGAACUACUUCCAACACACAUCGUCACCUCACCCUCAACUAGUCUCUGUUUAUUCUGUAACUCUUGUUUCGAGUUACUAAUGUUUAGCAACCAAACAAGUAUCAAAUACCCAAGGGCUACUAUAAACACUAGUAAGGUACACAUCAAUAACCUGUAUAUCAAAUAUACCCUUGUUCACUUUGCCAUCCUUCUUAUCCACCAAAUAUUCAGGGCAUUUCCGCUUCCAGUGACCAUUUCCUUUGCAGUAGAAGCACUCAAUUUCAGGCUUUAGUCUAGCUUUGGGCUUCUUCACGGAAGUGACAACUUGCUUGCCAUUCUACAUGAAGUUCCCUUUCUUUCUCCUUGCCCUUUUCUUGAAACUAGUGGUCUUGUUAAUCAUCAACACUUGAUGCUCUUUCUUGAUUUCUACCUUCAUCGAUUUCAUCAUCAUGAAAAGCUCGGGAAUAGUUUUCGUCAUCCCUUGCAUACUAUAGUUCAUCACGAAGUUCUACUAACUUGGUGAUGGUGACUAGAGAAUUCUGUCAAUCACUAUCUUAUCUGGAAGAUUAACUCCCACUUGAUUCAAGCGAUUGUAGUACCCAGAGAAUCUGACCACAUGCUCACUACUUGAGCUAUUCUCCUCCAUCUUUUAGCUAUAGAACUUGUUGGAGACUUCAUAUCUCUCAACUCGGGUAUUUGCUUGAAAUAUUAAAUUCAACUGCUGGAACAUCUCAUAUGGUCCAUGAUGUUCAAAACUUCUUUGAAGUCCCGAUUCUAAGCUGUUAAGCAUGGUGCACUAAACUAUCAUGUAGUCAUCAUAUUGAGCUAGCCAAACGUUCAUAACGUCUGCAUCUGCUCCUGCAAUAGGUCUGUCACCUAGCGGUGCAUCAAGGACAUAAUUCUUCUGUGUAGCAAUGAGGAUAAUCCUCAGAUCACAGAUCCAAUCCGCAUCAUUGCUACUAACAUCUUUCAACUUAGUUUUCUCUAGGAACAUAUCAAAAAUAAAACAGGGGAGCUAAACGCGAGCUAUUGAUCUACAACAUAGAUAUGCUAAUACUACCAGGACUAAGUUCAUGAUAAAUUAAAGGUCAAUAUAUUACAUAAGAACUCCCACUUAGAUAGACAUCCCUCUAAUCAUCUAAGUGAUCACGUGAUCCAUAUCAACUAAACCAUGUCCGAUCAUCACGUGAGAUGGAGUAGUUUUCAAUGGUGAACAUCACUAUGUUGAUCAUAUCUUCUAUAUGAUUCACGCUCGACCUUUAGGUCUCAGUGUUCCAAGGCCAUAUCUACAUAUGCUAGGCUCGUCAAGUUUAACCUGAGUAUUCCACGUGUGCAAAACUGUCUUGCACCCAUUGUAUUUGAACGUAGAUCUUAUCACACCCGAUCAUCACGUGGUGUCUCUUAUACCUUGAAAUUUAGUGAGAGAUCAUCUUAUAAUGCUACCGUCGAUCUAAGCAAAAUAAGAUGCAUAAAGAUAAACAUCACAUGCAAUCAAUAUAAGUGAUAUGACAUGGCCAUCAUCAUCUUGUACUUGUGAUCUCCAUCUCCGAAGCACCGUCAUGAUCACCAUCGUCACCGGCACGACACCUUGAUCUCCAUCGUAGCAUCGUUGUCGUCUCGCCAACUUAUGCUUCUACGACUAUCGCUACCGCUUAGUGAUAAAGUAAAGCAUUACAGGGCGAUUGCAUUGCAUACAAUAAAGCGACAACCAUAUGGCUCCUGCCAGUUGCUGAAAACUCGGUUACAAAACAUGAUCAUCUCAUACAAUAAAAUUUAGCAUCAUGCCUUGACCAUAUCACAUGACAACAUGCCCUGCAAAAACAAGUUAGAUGUCCUCUACUUUGUUGUUGCAAGUUUUACGUGGCUGCUAUGGGCUGAGCAAGAACCGUUCUUACCUACGCAUCAAAACCACAAUGAUAGUUCGUCAAGUUAGUGUUGUUUUAACCUUCUCAAGGAACGGGCGUAGCCACACUCGGUUCAACUAAAGUUGGAGAAACUGACAGCCGCCAGCCACCUGUGUGCAAAGCACGUCGGUAGAACCAGUCUCACGUAAGCGUACGCGUAAUGUCGGUCCGGGCCGCUACAUCCAACAAUACCGCCGAACCAAAGUAUGACAUGCUGGUAAGCAGUAUGACUUGUAUCGCCCACAACUCACUUGUGUUCUACUUGUGCAUAUAACAUCUAUGCAUAAAACCUGGCUUUGAUACCACUGUUGGGGAACGUAGUAAUUUCAAAAAAAAAUCCUACGCACACACAGGAUCAUGGUGAUGCAUAGCAACGAGAGGGGAGAGUGUGUCCACGUACCCUCGUAGACCGAAAGCGGAAGCAUUAGCACAACGCGGUUGAUGUAGUCGUACGUCUUCACGAUCCGACCGAUCAAGUACCGAACGCACGGCACCUCCGAGUUCUGCACACGUUCAACUCGAUGACGUCCCUCGAACUCCGAUCCAGCCGAGCUUUAAGGGAGAGUUCCGUUAGCACGACGGUGUGGUGACGAUGAUGAUGUUGCUACCGACGCAGGGCUUCGCCUAAGCACUGGUACGAUAUUAUCGAGGUGGACUAUGGUGGAGAGGGGCACCACACACGGCUAAAAGAUCCAAGAGAUCAAUUGUUGUGUCUAUGGGGUGCCCCUCUCCUCCGUAUAUAAAGGGGGAGGAGAGGGCUGGCCAAGGGGAGGAGGCGCGCCCAAGGGGGGAGUCCUACUCCCACCGGGAGUAGGACUCCUCCUUUUCCUAUUUGGAGAGGGAGAGGGAAGGAAGAGGAAGGAGGGAGGAAGGAAAGGGGGGCCGGCCCCCCUCCCAAUUCGGAUUGGGCUUGGGGGGGCGCCCCCUCCCUUGCUCCUUUCCCCUCCUUUCCACUAAAGCCCAUUAAGGCCCAUAUACGUCCCGAGGGGUUCCGAUAACCUCCCGGUGCUCCAGUAUUAUCCCGAUCUCACCCGGAACCAUUCCGUUAUCCAAAUAUAGUCGUCCAAUAUAUCGAUCUUUACGUCUCGACCAUUUCGAGACUCCUCGUCAUGUCCGUGGUCACAUCCGGGACUCCGAACUACCGUCGAUACAUCAAAACACAUAAACUCAUAAUAUAACCGUCAUCGAACUUUAAGCGUGCGGACCCUACGGGUUCGAGAACUAUGUAGACAUGACCGAGACACGUCUCCGGUCAAUAACCAAUAGCGGAACCCGGAUGCUCAUAUUGCCUCCUACAUAUUCUACGAAGAUCUUUAUCGGUCAAACCGCAUAACAACAUACGUUGUUCCCUUUGUCAUCGGUAUGUUACUUGCCCGAGAUUCGAUCGUCGGUAUCUCAAUACCUAGUUCAAUCUCGUUACCGGCAAGUCUCUUUACUCGUUCCGUAAUACAUCAUCUCGCAACAAACUCAUUAUUUACAAUGCUUGCAAGGCUUAUAGUGAUGUGUAUUACCGAGUGGGCCCAGAGAUACCUCUCCGACAAUCGGAGUGACAAAUCCUAAUCUCGAAAUACGCCAACUCAACAAGUACCUUUGGAGACACCUCUAGAGCACCUUUAUAAACACCCAGUUACGUUGUGACGUUUGGUAGCACACAAAGUGUUCCUCCGGUAAACGGGAGGUGUAUAAUCUCAUAGUGGUAGGAACAUGUAUAAGUCAUGAAGAAAGCAAUAGCAACAUACUAAACGAUCAAGUGCUAAGCUAACGGAAUGGGUCAAGUCAAUCACAUCAUUCUCUAAUGAUGUGAUCCCGUUAAUCAAAUGACAACUCAUGUCUAUGGCUAGGAAACAUAACCAUCUUUGAUUCAACGAGCUAGUCAAGUAGAGGCAUACUAGUGACACUCUUUUUGUCUAUGUAUUCACACAUGUAUCAAGUUUCCGGUUAAUACAAUUCUAGCAUGAAUAAUAAACAUUUAUCAUGAAAGAAGGAAAUAAAUAAUAACUUUAUUAUUGCCUCUAGGGCAUAUUUACUUCAUUACCAAGCAUCCCCAAGCUUAAUUCCUGCUCGUCCUCGAGUAGGUAAAUGAUAAAACAGAAUUUUUGAUGUGGAAUGCUUCUUAGCAUAAUUUUCAAUGUAAUUCUUUUUAUUAUGGCAUGAAUAUUUAGAUAUGAAAGAUUCAAGAUAAAAGUUUAAUGUUGACAUAAAAACAAUAAUACUUCAAACAUGCUAACCAAGCAAUUAUGUCUUAUCAAAAUAACAUAGCCAAAGAAAGCUCAUCCCUACAAAAUCAUAUAGUUAGGCCAUGCUUCAAUUUCGUCACACAAAACAUUCUCAUCAUGCAUAACCCCGAUGACAAGCCGAGCAAUUGGUUCAUACUUUUUAACGCGCUUCAGCCUUUUCAACCUUUACGCAAUACAUGAGCGCAAGCCAUGGAUAUAGCACUAUGGGUGGAAUAAAGUAUAAUGAUGGGGGUUAUAUGAGAAGACAAAAAGGUAGAAAGUCUCACACCGACGCGGCUAAUCAAUAGGCUAUGAAGAUGCCCAUCAAUUGAUGUUAAUGAGAGGAGUAGGGAUUGCCAUGCAACGGAUGCACUAGAGCUAUAAAUAUAUGAAAGCUCAACAAAAGAAACUAAGUGGGUGUGCAUCCAACUUGCUUGCUCACGAAGACCUAGGGCAUUUUGAGGAAGCCCAUCAUUGGAAUAUACAAGCCAAGUUAUAUAAUGAAAAAUUCCCACUAGUAUAUGGAAGUGACAACAUAGGAGACUCUCUAUCAUGAAGAUCACGGUGCUACUUUGAAGCACAAGUGUGGAAAAAGGAUAGUAACAUUGUCCCUUCUCUCUUUUUCUCUCUUUUUCUCUCUUUUUUUUCUUUUUUUUUCUUGGGCCUUCUUUUUUUCUUUGGCCUCUUUUUUUUAUUUAGUCCGGAAUCUCAUCCCGACUUGUGGGGGAAUCAUAGUCUCCAUCAUCCUUUCCUCACAUGGGACAAUGCUCUAAUAAUGAUGAUCAUCACACUUUUAUUACUUACAACUCAAGAAUUACAACUCAAUACUUAGAACAAAAUAUGACUCUAUGUGAAUGCCUCCGGCGGUGUACUAGGAUAUGCAAUGAAUCAAGAGUGACAUGUAUAAAAAAAUUAUGAAGGGUGGCUUUUCCACAAAUACGAUGUCAACUACAUGAUCAUGCAAAGCAAUAUGACAAUGAUGGAGCGUGUCAUAUAAAACGGAAUGGUGGUAAUUUGCAUGGAAAUAUAUCUCAGAAUGGCUAUGGAAAUGCCAUGAUAGGUAGGUAUGGUGGUUGUUUUGAGGAAGAUAUAAGGAGGUUUAUCUGUGAUAGAGCGUAUCAUAUCACGGGGUUUGGAUGCACCGGCGAAGUUUGCACCAACUCUCAAGGCGAGAAAGGGCAAUGCACGGUACCGUAGAGGCUAGAAAAUUGUGGAAGGUUGAGAGUGCGUAUAAUCCAUGGACUCACAUUAGUCAUAAAGAACUCAUAUACUUAUUGCUAAAGUUUAUUAGCCCUCGAAGCAAAGUACUACUACGCAUGCCCCUAGAGGGAUAGAUUGGUAGGAAACAACCAUCGCUCGUCCCCGACCGCCACUCAUAAGGAAAGCAAUAAAAGAACACCUUAUGUGUCAAAAUUGUCACACAACUUUUACCAUACGUGCAUGCUACGGGACUUGCCAACCUUAACACAAGUAUUUCUCAAUUUCACAAUUACUCAACUAGCACACUCUAACAUUACCACCUUUACAUCUCAAAACACUUAUCAAGUAUCAAACUUCUCAUGAUAUUCAAUGAGCUCAUUAUGGAAGUUUUUAUUAUGCUCAUCUUGGAUGCCUAUCACAUUCAGAUUAAUUUUACAAUUAAAGAAAAUUACCAUGCUGUUUAAGACUCUCAAAAUAAUAUAAGUGAAGCAUGAGAGAUCAAUAAUUUCUAUAAAAUAAAACCACCACCAUGCUCUAAAAGAUAUAAGUGAAGCACUAGAGCAAAAAUUAUAUAGCUCAAAAGAUAUAAGUGAAGCACAUAGAGUAUUCUAACAAAUUCCGAAUCAUGUGUGUCUCUCUCAAAAGGUGUGUACAGCAAGGAUGAUUGUGGUAAACUAAAAAGCAAAGACUCAAAUCAUACAAGACGCUCCAAGAAAAACACAUAUCAUGUGGUGAAUAAAAAUAUAGCCCCAAGUAAAGUUACCGAUAGACGAAGACGAAAGAGGGGAUGCCUUCCGGGGCAUCCCCAAGCUUAAGAUUUUGGUUGUCCUUGAAUUUUACCUUGGGGUGCCUUGGGCAUCCCCAAGCUUAGGCUCUUGCCAAUCCUUGUUCCAUAAUCCAUCAAAUCUUUACCCAAAACUUGAAAACUUCACAACACAAAACUUAACAGAAAAUCUCGUGAGCUCCGUUAGCGAAAGAAAACAAAACACCACUUCAAGUUACUGUAAUGAACUCAUUAUUUAUUUAUAUUGGUGUUAAACCCACUGUAUUCCAACUUCUCUAUGGUUUAUAAGCUCUUUUACUAGCCAUAGAUUCAUCAAAAUAAGCAAACAACACACGAAAAACAGAAUCUGUCAAAAACAGAACAGUCUGUAGUAAUCUGUAUCUAACGCAAACUUCUGAACUCAGAAAAAUCUACCAAAAUAGGACGACCUAUAUAAUUUGUUUAUUGAUAUACUGCAAUUGGAAUCAGUAUUUUAUCACGUUCUGGUGAUUUGAAACAAUUGGUUUCGUGAACAGAAAGUUUCUGGAAUUUUCAGCAACAUCAAAUAACUAUCAUCCAAGAAGAUCCUAUAGGUUUCACUUGGCACAAACACUAAUUAAAACAUAAAAACACAUCUAACCAGAGGCUAGAUCAAAUAUUUAUUACUAAACAGAACCAAAAGGCAAAAAAAAAUUGGGUUGCCUCCCAACAAGCGCUAUCGUUUAACGCCCCUAGCUAGGUAUAAAAGCAAGGAUAGAUCUAGGUAUUGCCAUCUUUGGUAGGCAGUUCUUCAAUAAGACACCUAUAACCCUUAGGAGUUUCUUUCUUUUUAUUAAUUAUCAAACUCCUAGGCAAAAGGUUCCUUAAGGAUAGCAAGAAAGUUGGGGUGAACACUUAUGGAUUUGAGGUCCGCAUUUCCCUUACUAGAAGUUUCACCCUUAUUUUUAGGAACAUACAUCAAUUUGGCAAUCUUAUCAUUACAAGGAGUGUUUUUCAUGGAAGAAAAGGCAGACCCUAGGUUGGUAAUAAUGUCCUCAAUUUUAUCAAUUCUAGUGGAAUCUUGAUCUAUCUUUUCAUUAACCAUAGGUUCCUUUUCUUUAAAAAAUUUAAAAGCAACUCCUACCUUAGAUCCGUAUUGGGUAACUUGGUUGUGGAUCUUUCUAUCCAAAUUUUCAAUCAACUCUACGGUGGCAACUUUAUUUUCAAUAAUUUCAAGCUGUUGCAUCACAUGUUCCAAAGUUAAAAUAGUUCCAUUAACCAAAAGAGGUGGUGGGCCAAACAAAUAUAUCAUAGCAUUAUAAGAAUCAAAAGUAUGGCUACCCAAGAAAUUUCCUCCGGUAAUGGUAUCAAGAAUAUAUCUAUUCCAAGGAGUGAUGCCUACAUAAAAAUUGCGUAGAAGAACGGAAGUAGGUUGCUUCCUAGUAGAUGUAUUUUGCGCAUUGCAAAUUCUGUACCAAGCAUAAUUUAGAUUUUCUCCCUCCCUUUGUUUAAAAUUAAGAACUUCAUUCUCGGGAGACAAAGGGGUAGAUAAAGGACUAGCCAUAAUGACGAAGCAGGCGAACGGAACAAGAGGGCGAAUAAAACGGCAAGGGUGAAGUGGGGGAGAGGAAAACGAGAGGCAAAUGGCAAAUAAUGUAAUGCGAGGGAUAAGAGCUUGUGAUGCGUACUUGGUAUGUCUUGACUUGUGCGUAGACUCCCCGGCAACGGCGCCAGAAAUCCUUCUUGCUACCUCUUGAGCACUGCGUUGGUUUUCCCUUGAAGAGGAAAGGGUGAUGCAGUAAAGUAGCGUAAGUAUUUCCCUCAGUUUUUGAGAACCAAGGUAUCAAUCCAGUAGGGGACCAUGCUCAAGUCCCACGCACCUACACAAGCAAAUAAGAACCUUGCAACCAACGCGAUAAAGGGGUUGUCAAUCCCUUCACGGCCACUUGCAAAAGUGAGAUCUGAUAGAGAUGAUAAGAUAAUAUUUUUGGUAUUUUUAUGAUAAAGACUAAAAGUAAAGAAAGCAAAAUAAACAGUAAUAGAAAUAACGGUAGAUUAAUAUGAUAGAGAAUAGACCCGGGGGCCAUAGGUUUCACUAGUGGCUUCUCUCAAGAGCAUAAGUGUUACGGUGGGUAAACAAAUUACUGUCGAGCAAUUGAUAGAAUUGAGCAUAGUUAUGAGAAUAUCUAGGUAUGAUAUGUAUAUAGGCAUCCCGUCCGUGACAAGUAGACCGACUCCUGCCUGCAUCUACUACUAUUACUCCACACAUCGACCGCUAUCCAGCAUGCAUCUAGAGUAUUAAGUUCAUAAGAAUGGAGUAACGCUUUAAGCAAGAUGACAUGAUGUAGAGGGAUAAACUCAUGCAAUAUGAUAUAAACCCCAUCUUUUUAUACUCGAUGGCAACAAUACAAUACGUGUCCUUUCCCCUACUGUCACUGGGAUCGAGCACCGCAAGAUUGAACCCAAAGCUAAGCACUUCUCCAAUUGGAAGAAAGAUCAAUCUAGUAGGCCAAACCAAACUGAUAAUUUGAAGAGACUUGCAAAGAUAACCAAUCAUACAUAAAAGAAUUCAGAGGAGAUUCAAAAAAUGUUCAUAGAUAAUCUUGACCAUAAACCCACAAUUCAUCGGAUCUCGACAAACACACCGCAAUAGAAGAUUACAUCGAAUAGAUCUCCAAGAGAAUCGAGGAGAACUUUGUAUUGAGAUCCAAAGAGAGAGAAGAAGCCAUCUAGCUAAUAACUAUGGACCCGAAGGUCUGAGGUAAACUACUCACACAUCAUCGGAGAGGCUAUGGUGUUGAUGUAGAAGCCCUCGAUCAAUGCCCCCUCCAGCGGAUCGCCGGAAAAGGCCCCAAGAUGGGACCUCACGGGUACAGAAGGUUGCGGCGGUGGAAAUAGGGUUUUGGCUCCUCUGCUGAUGUUUUCGGGGUACGUAGGUAUAUAUAGGAGGAAGAAGUAGGUCGGUGGAGCUACAAGGGGCCCACGAGGGUGGAGGGCGCGCCCAGGGGGUAGGCGUGCCCCCUGCCUCGUGGGCUUCUCGUUGAUUCCUUGACGUCCACUCCAAGUCCUCUGGAUCACGUUUGUUCAGAAAAUCAUGUUCCCGAAGGUUUCAUUCCGUUUGGACUCCGUUUGAUAUUCCUUUCCUUCGAAACACUGAAAUAAGCAAAAAAACAGCAAUUUGGGCUGGGCCUCCGGUUAAUACGUUAGUCCCAAAAAUAAUAUAAAAGUGUAUAAUAAAGCCCAUUGAACAUCCAAAACAGAUAAUAUAAUAGCAUGGAACAAUCAAAAAUUAUAGAUACGUUGGAGACGUAUCAGGGCCCUUAGAAGGCCGAAAGUUAACACGGGCUAGAAACGGCUGACGGAAUAAUGGGCUGUUAAUGGGUAUAAAGCGAUACACUGUUCAUUAUGGGCCAGUUUCAUCUCGGGCCUUUAUUGGGCCCAGAGUUACGAAGGGCCUCGUAUGGGCCGAAAGACAUCAUGGGCCAUACAUGGGCCGGAAGUAACAAUGGGAUGGAAUCAUAUUGGACGGCCCAGAUGAAGCUACUGGGCUUAAUUCUGAUAGGCCGUAACGGGUCGGGAGUUAGCGGGUCGUAAAUGGGCGAUAUACGAACAGGCCGUUCACUGGCUUUCCUUGGGCCGGCCCCUUACCUUUUGACCAAGUCAAACAGGCCGGCCUUUUCACCAGAAUGGGCCUCUGUUGGGUCGUGCCAUGUGUCGACGUAUCCUAGGCGCCUCCUGUCCAAUGAGUGGAUGCCAUCUGUCCCAACGGAGAGCCAACACGUGUUUCCUCUGGCCAUUGAGAAUUUUACACGUGGAAAAUCCCCAUUGGUCCGGGCUGUUAACGGGUUAUCGGAUCCAAAACCGGACCCGAUAGCUUAACGGCGACCUGUUAUGGUGGAUGCCACCUGUCGGUCACCCUUGACGAAAACACUUCUAUGACGCACGAUUUAUCAUCAUGGAAGUGGACACUUCCAUGAUGAUAAUUUUGGUAAUAUCAUGGAACACUUCUACGACAGCACUGGUAUGACUAUCUGUUGGAAAUAUGCCCUAGAGAAAAUAAUAAAUAGGUUAUUAUUAUAUUUCCUUGUUCAUGAUAAUCGUUUAUUAUCCAUGCUAGAAUUGUAUUGAUAGGAAACUCAGAUACAUGUGUGGAUACAUAGACAACACCAUGUCCCUAGUAAGCCUCUAGUUGACUAGCUCGUUGAUCAAUAGAUGGUUACGGUUUCAUGACCAUGGACAUUGGAUGUCGUUGAUAACGGGAUCACAUCAUUAGGAGAAUGAUGUGAUGGACAAGACCCAAUCCUAAGCCUAGCACAAGAUCGUGUAGUUCGUUUGCUCAUAGCUUUUCUAAUGUCAAGUAUCAUUUCCUUAGACCAUGAGAUUGUGCAACUCUCGGAUACCGUAGGAAUGCUUUGGGUGUACCAAACGUCACAACGUAACUGGGUGGCUAUAAAGGUGCACUACAGGUAUCUCCGAAAGUGUCUGUUGGGUUGGCACGAAUCAAGACUGGGAUUUGUCACUCCGUGUAAAUGGAGAGGUAUCUCUGGGCCCACUCGGUAGGACAUCAUCAUAAUGUGCACAGUGUGACCAAGGAGUUGAUCACGGGAUGAUGUGAGUUACGGAACGAGUAAAGAGACUUGUCGGUAACGACGAUCGAAUCUCGGGCAAGUAACAUACCGAUAGACAAAGGGAAUUGAAUACGGGAUUGAUUGAAUCCCCGACAUCGUGGUUCAUCCGAUGAGAUCAUCGUGGAACAUGUGGGAGCCGACAUGGGUAUCCAGAUCCCGCUGUUGGUUAUUGGCCGGAGAACAUCUCGGUCAUGUCUGCAUGGUUCCCGAACCUGUAGGAUCUACACACUUAAGGUUCGAUGACGCUAGGGUUAUAGGGAAAGUAUGUACGUGGUUACCGAAUGUUGUUCGGAGUCCCGGAUGAGAUCCCGGACGUCACGAGGAGUUCCGGAAUGGUCCGGAGGUAAAGAUUUAUAUAUGGGAAGUCCUGUUUUGGUCACCGGAAAAGUUUCGGGUGCUAUCGGUAAUGUACCGGGACCACCGGGAGGGUCCCNNNNNNNNNNNNNNNNNNNNNNNNNNNNNNNNNNNNNNNNNNNNNNNNNNNNNNNNNNNNNNNNNNNNNNNNNNNNNNNNNNNNNNNNNNNNNNNNNNNNNNNNNNNNNNNNNNNNNNNNNNNNNNNNNNNNNNNNNNNNNNNNNNNNNNNNNNNNNNNNNNNNNNNNNNNNNNNNNNNNNNNNNNNNNNNNNNNNNNNNNNNNNNNNNNNNNNNNNNNNNNNNNNNNNNNNNNNNNNNNNNNNNNNNNNNNNNNNNNNNNNNNNNNNNNNNNNNNNNNNNNNNNNNNNNNNNNNNNNNNNNNNNNNNUCUAGUGGGGUGCCCCCCUCUCUUCCCCCCUUGGCCGCCCCCCAAGCCCCAUCUAGGGCUGGCCGCACCCCUUGGGGGGGGAACCCUAGAUCGGGGCGCAGCCCCUCCCCCUCCCCUAUAUAUACUUGAGGUUUUGGGGCUGCCAUAUACACGAGAAAGUUUCCCUCAUAGCGCAGCCCUACCCCUCUUCUUCCUCCUCUCCCGCGGUGCUUGGCGAAGCCCUGCAGGAUUGCCACGCUCCUCCAUCACCACCACGCCGUCGUGCUGCUACUGGACGGAGUCUUCCCCAACCUCUCCCUCUCUCCUUGCUGGAUCAAGGCGUGGGAGACGUCACUGGGCUGCACGUGUGUUGAACGCGGAGGCACCGUUCUUCGGUGCUUAGAUCGGAAUCAACCGCGAUCUGAAUCGCCACGAGUACGACUCCUUCAUCCGCGUUCUUGCAACGCUUCCGCAUCGUGAUCUACAAUGGUAUGUAGAUGCACUCCCCUUCCCCUCGUUGCUAGAUUACUCCAUAGAUUGAUCUUGGUGAUGCGUAGAAAAUUUUGAAUUUCUGCUACGUUCCCCAACAGUGGCAUCAUGAGCUAGGUCUAUGCGUAGUUUCUAUGCACGAGUAGAACACAAAGCAGUUGUGGGCGUAGAUGUUGCCAAUUCUUCUUUCCGCUACUAGUCUUAUCUUGUUUCGGCGGCAUUGUGGGAUGAAGCGGCCCGGACCGACCUUACACGUACGCUUACGUGAGACAGGUUCCACCGACUGACAUGCACUAGUUGCAUAAGGUGGCUAGCGGGUGUCUGUCUCUCCCACUUUAGUCAGAACGGAUUCGAUGAAAAGGGUCCUUAUGAAGGGUAAAUAGAAAUUGGCAUAUCACGUUGUGGUUUUACAUAGGUAAGAAACGUUCUUGCUAGAAACCUAUACAAGCCACGUAAAAACUUGCAACAACAAUUAGAGGACGUCUAACUUGUUUUUGCAGCAUGUGCUAUGUGAUGUGAUAUGGCCAGAAGAUGUGAUGAAUGAUAUAUGUGAUGUAUGAGAUUGAUCAUAUUCUUGUAAUAGGAAUCACGACUUGCAUGUCGAUGAGUAUGACAACCGGCAGGAGCCAUAGGAGUUGUCUUUAUUUUUUGUAUGACCUGCGUGUCAUUGAAUAACGCCAUGUAAAUUACUUUACUUUAUUGCUAAGCGCGUUAGCCAUAGAAGUAGAAGUAAUCGUUGGCGUGACAACUUCAUGAAGACACAAUGAUGGAGAUCAUGAUGAUGGAGAUCAUGGUGUCAUGCCGGUGACAAAGAUGAUCUUGGUGCCCCAAAGAUGGAGAUCAAAGGAGCAAAAUGAUAUUGGCCAUAUCAUGUCACUAUUUGAUUGCAUGUGAAAGUUUUUAUUAUACCCAUCUUGGAUGCCUAUCAUAUUAGGACUAAUUUUAUAGCCAAAGCAAAUUACCAUGCUGUUAUAAAGGACUCUGAAAAUAAUAUAAGUGAAGCAUGAGAGAUCAAUAAUUUCUAUAAAAUAAAACCACCACCGUGCUCUAAAAAGAUAUAAGUGAAGCACUAGAGCAAAAUUAUCUAGCUCAAAAGAUAUAAGUGAAGCACAUAGAGUAUUCUAAUAAAUUCCGAAUCAUGUGUGUCUCUCCCAAAAGGUGUUUACAGCAAGGAUGAUUGUGGUAAACUAAAAAGCAAAGACUCAAAUCAUACAAUACGCUCCAAGCAAAACUUAUAUCAUGUGGUGAAUAAAAAUAUAGCUUCGAGUAAAGUUACCGAUAGACGAAGACGAAAGAGGGGAUGCCUUCCGGGGCAUCCCCAAGCUUAGGAUUUUGGUUGUCCUUGAAUUUUACCUUGGGGUGCCUUGGGCAUCCCCAAGCUUAGGCUAGUGCCACUCCUUAUUCCAAAAUCCAUCAAAUCUUUACCCAAAAACUUGAAAACUUCACAACACAAAACUUAACAAAAAAUCUCAUGAGCUCCGUUAGUAUAAGAAAACAAACCACCACUUUAAGGUACUGUAAUGAACUCAUUCUUUAUUUAUAUUGGUGUUAAACCUACUGUAUUCCAACUUCUCUAUGGUUCAUACCCCCCGAUACUACCCAUAGAUUCAUUAAAAUAAGCAAACAACACGCGAAAAACAGAAUCUGUCAAAACAGAACAGUAUGUAGAAAUCUGAUUCAUACGCAUACUUCAGGACUCCAAAAAUUCUGAAAUAAAUUUGUGGACGUGAGGAAUUUGUCUAUUAAUUAUCUGCAAAAAGAAUCAACCUAAAAUCUCUCUCCAGUAAAAAAUGGCAUCUAAUCUCGUGAGCGCAAAAGUUUCUGUUUUUUACAGCAAGAUUGCAAAGACUUCACCCAUGUCUUCCCAAAGGCUCUACUUGGCACAAAAACUAAUUAAAACAUAAAACCACAUCUAAGAAGAGGCUAGAUGAAUUAUUUAUUAUUAAACAGGAACAAAAAGAAAAAAAAAAGAAAAAAAUUGGGUUGCCUCCCAACAAGCACUAUCGUUUAACGCCCCUAGCUAGGCAUAAAGCAAGAAUAGAUCUAGGUAUUACCAUAAUGAUAAGGCAAAUCGCAAAAACUCAUCUCAUACUCACUACGUUCAGCAGCAAGCUUUCUUUGCGGCAGGCAAAAAUAAUCAAAAGGGCUAAAUUUAAUGGGACAAAAGUCCCCAAGAUCAAGUUCGGGAGGUAUUGGUUCCUCCUUUGGCCCCUCAUAUUGCACAACCAAUUCAUCAUUAUAAACAUUCUUUUGGCAAAAAGUCAUGAGCCUUUGUUCAAGAGAAAAUCCUAACACAUAGUUCUGAAUAGCAAAGUUAUCACUGAGUUCAGAAAUCAUAUCAACUAGAAUAUCGGUAGGAACCUUCAUUCUAAGAUUUUCAUUAUAAGCAACACGAUCUAAAGAUCAUAAACGCAUUAUGUCUUCUUGAUUAAAAAGGAUAGCUUCUGUGGGAGGACGGCCAACAUCCACCCUAUAAUGCGCAAAAUUUUCAUUGGACUCUUUCAUUAUAAAUCUGAACUCAUGUGCUAAAAAGAUAGUAGCUGCUCGCUUAACAGAAGAAUGCUCAAUAUUGGAAAAUUCUAGAAACAUCCUUUGUAUGCAAGGAUGCAUAUGAAUAAAUUGUGUUUCAAGUGCAACUAUGAUCAAAGUGUUGGAAAUAUGCCCUAGAGGCAAUAAUAAAAUGGUUAUUAUUAUAUUUCCUUGUUCAUGAUAAUUGUCUAUUGUUCAUGCUAUAAUUGUGUUAUCCAGAAAUCGUAAUACAUGUGUGAAUACAUAGACCACAACAUGUCCCUAGUGAGCCUCUAGUUGACUAGCUCGUUGAUCAACAGAUAGUCAUGGUUUCCUGACUAUGGACAUUGGAUGUCAUUGAUAACGGGAUCACAUCAUUAGGAGAAUGAUGUGAUGGACAAGACCCAAUCCUAAGCAUAGCACAAAAUCGUGUAGUUCGUUUGCUAGAGCUUUUCCAAAUGUCAAGUAUCAUUUCCUUAGACCAUGAGAUUGUGCAACUCCCGGAUACCAUAGGAGUGCUUUGGGUGUGCCAAACGUCACAACGUAACUGGGUGGCUAUAAAGGUGCACUACGGGUAUCUCCGAAAGUGUCUGUUGGGUUGGCACGAAUCAAGACUGGGAUUUGUCACUCCGUGUAAAUGGAGAGGUAUCUCUGGGCCCACUCGGUAGGACAUCAUCAUAAUGUGCACAGUGUGACCAAGGAGUUGAUCAUGGGAUCAUGCAUUACGGUACGAGUAAAGUGACUUGCCGGUAACGAGAUUGAACAAGGUAUUGGGAUACCGACGAUCGAACCUCGGGCAAGUAACGUACCGAUUGACAAAGGGAAUUGUAUACGGGAUUGAUUGAAUCCUCGACAUCGUGGUUCAUCCGAUGAGAUCAUCGUGGAACAUGUGGGAGCCAACAUGGGUAUCCAGAUCCCGCUGUUGGUUAUUGACCGGAGAGUCGUCUCGGUCAUGUCUGCAUGUCUCCCGAACCCGUAGGGUCUACACACUUAAGGUUCGGUGACGCUAGGUUAUAGAGAUACUGGUAUGCGGUAACCCGAAAGUUGUUCGGAGUCCCGGAUGAGAUCCCGGACGUCACGAGGAGUUCCGGAAUGGUCCGGAGGUGAAGAAUUAUAUAUAGGAAGUCCAGUUUCGGCCACCGGGAAAGUUUCGGGGGUCACCGGUAUUGUACCGGGACCACCGGAAGGGUCCCGGGGGUCCACCGGGUGGGGCCACCUAUCCCGGAGGGCCCCAUGGGCUGAAGUGGGGAAGGGAACCAGCCCCUGGUGGGCUGGUGCGCCCCCCUUGGGCCUCCCCUGCGCCUAGGGUUGGAAACCCUAGGGGUGGGGGGCGCCCCACUUGACUUGGGGGGCAAGUCCCCCCCCUUGGCCGCCGCCCCCCUUGAGAUGGGAUCUCUGGGGGCCGGUGCCCCCUUGGACCCCUAUAUGAAGAGGGGGGAGGGAGGGCAGCCGCACCCAAGCCCCUGGUGCCUCCCUCUCCCUCCCGUGACACCUCUCCCUCUCGCUGAGCUUGGCGAAGCCUUGUCGAGAUCCCCGCUACUUCCACCACCACGCCGUCGUGCUGCUGGAUCUCCAUCAGCCUCUCCUUCCCCCUUGCUGGAUCAAGAAGGAGGAGACGUCUUCCCCAACCGUACGUGUGUUGAACGUGGAGGUGCCGUCCGUUCGGCGCUCGGUCAUCGGUGAUUUGGAUCACGACGAGUACGACUCCAUCAACCCCGUUCACUUGAACGCUUCCGCUCGCGAUCUACAAGGGUAUGUAGAUCCACUCCUCUCUCUCGUUACUAGAUGACUCCAUAGAUUGAUCUUGGUGAUGUGUAGAAAAUUUUUAAUUUCUGCAACGAUCCCCAACAGUGGCAUCAUGAGCUAGGUCUAUGCGUAGUUUCUAUGCAUGAGUAGAAGACAAACUUGUUGUGGGCGUAGAUGUUGUCAAUUUUCUUGCCACUACUAGUCUUAUCUUGUUUCGGCGGCAUCGUGGGAUGAAGCGGCCCGGACCGACCUUACACGUACGCUUACAUGAGACAGGUUCCACCGACUGACAUGCACUAGUUGCAUAAGGUGGCUAGCGGGUGUCUAUCUCUCCCACUUUAGUCGGAACGGAUUCAAUGAAAAGGGUCCUUAUGAAGGGUAAAUAGAAAUUGGCAUAUCACGUUGUGGUUUUACGUAGGUAAGAAACGUUCUUGCUAAGAAACCUAUAGCAGCCACGUAAAAACUUGCAACAACAAUUAGAGGACGUCUAACUUGUUUUUGCAGCAUAUGCCUUGUGAUGUGAUAUGGCCAAAAGGAUGUGAUGAAUGAAAUAUAUGUGAUGUAUGAGAUUGAUCAUGUUCUUGUAAUAGGAAUCACGACUUGCAUGUCGAUGAGUAUGACAACCGGCAGGAGCCAUAGGAGUUGUCUUUAUUUUUUGUAUGACCUGCGUGUCAUUGAAUAACGCCAUGUAAAUUACUUUAAUUUAUUGCUAAACACGUUAGCCAUAGAAGUAGAAGUAAUCGUUGGCGUGACAACUUCAUGAAGACACGAUGAUGGAGAUCAUGGUGUCAUGCCGGUGACGAAGAUGAUCAUGGCGCCCCGAAGAUGGAGAUCAAAAGGAGCAAAAUGAUAUUGGCCAUAUCAUGUCACUAUUUGAUUGCAUGUGAUGUUUAUGAUGUUUUACAUCUUAUUUGCUUAGAACGACAGUAGCUUAAAUAAGAUGAUCCCUCGCAAUAAUUUCAAGAAAGUGUUCCCCCUAACAGUGCACCGUUGUGAAGGUUCGUUGUUUCGAAGCACCACGUGAUGAUCGGGUGUGAUAGAUUCUAACGUUCGAAUACAAUGGGUGUUGACGAGCCUAGCAUGUACAGACAUGGCCUCGGAACACAUGCAAAACACUUAGGUUGACUUGACGAGCCUAGCAUGUACAGACAUGGCCUCGGAACACAAGAGACCGAAAGGUCGAGCAUGAGUCGUAUAGAAGAUACGAUCAACAUGGAGAUGUUCACCGAUGAUGACUAGUCCGUCUCACGUGAUGAUCGGACACGGCCUAGUUUGACUCGGAUCAUGUAUCACUUAGAUGACUAGAGGGAUGUCUAUCUGAGUGGGAGUUCAUUAAUCAGAUGAACUUAAUUAUCAUGAACAUAGUCAGAAGGUCUUUGCAAAUUAUGUCAUAGCUUGCGCUUUAGUUCUACUGGUUAAGAUAUGUUCCUAGAGAAAAUUUAGUUGAAAGUUGGUAGUAGCAAUUAUGCGGACUGGGUCCGUAAACUGAGGAUUGUCCUCAUUGCUGCAUAGAAGGCUUAUGUCCUUAAUGCACCGCUCGGUGUGCUGAACCUCAGCGUCGUCUGUAGAUGUUGCAAAACAUCUGACAUACACGUUUUGGUGACUACGUGAUAGUUCAGUGCGUAAUGCCAACGGUUUAGAAUUGUGGCACCAAAGACGUUUUUGAAACAUCGCAGAACAUAUGAGAUGUUCUGAAGACUGAAAUUGGGAUUUCAGACUAGUGCCCACGUCAAGAGGUAUGAGACCUCUGACAAGUUUCUUAAGCCUGCAAACUAAGGGAGAAAAGCUCAAUCGUUGAGCAUGUGCUCAGAUUGUCUGAGUACUAUAAUCACUUGAAUCAAGUGGGAGUUAAUCUUCCAGAUGAGAUAGUGAUGGUUCUCCAUAGUCACUGCCACCAAGCUAUUAGAGCUUCGUGAUGAACUAUAACAUAUCAGGGAUAGAUAUGAUGAUCCUUGAGCAACUCGCGAUGUUUGACACCGCAAAAGUAGAAAUCAAGAAGGAGCAUCAAUUGUUGAUGGUUAGUAAAACCACUAGUUUCUAGAAGGGUAAGGGCAAAAGGGAUACUUCAUGAAACAGCAAAUCAUUUGCUGCUCUAGUGAAGAAUCCCAAGGUUGAGCCCAAACCCGAGACUAAGUGCUUCUGUAAUGAGGGGAACGGUCACUGAAGCAAAACUACCCUAGAUACUUGGUAGAUGAGAAGGCAGGCAAGGUCGAUAGAAUUAUAUUGGAUAUACAUUAUAUGAAUGUGUACUUUACUAGUAGUCCUAGUAGCACCAGGGUAUUAGAUACCGGUUCGGUUGCUAAGUGUUAGUAACUCGAAAUAAAAGCUGCGGAAUAAACGGAGACUAGCUAAAGGUGAGAUGACGAUAUGUGUUGGAAGUGUUUCCAAGGUUGAUGUGAUCAAGCAUCACAUGCUCCCUCUACCAUCGAGAUUUGGUGUUUGCGUUGAGCAUGAUUGGAUUAUGUUUAUCGCAAUACGGUUAUUCAUUUAAGGAGAAUAAUAGUUGCUCUGUUUAUUUGAAUAAUACCUUCAAUGGUCUUGCACCUAAAAUGAAUCUCGAUCGCAGUGAUACACAUGUUCGUGCCAAAAGAUAUAAGAUAGUAAUGAUAGUACCACAUACUUGUGGCACUGCCACUUGAGUCAUAUUGGUAUAGAACGCAUGAAGAAGCUCCAUGUAGAUGGAUCUUUGGACUCACUCGUUUUGAAAAGAUUGAGACAUGCGAACCAUGUCUAUUGGUAUAUAUGCAUGAAGAAACUCCAUACAGAUGGAUCGUUUGGACUCACUUGAUUUUGAAUCACUUGAGACAUGCAAAUCAUACCACAUGGGCAAGAUGACUGAAAGGCCUCGUUUUCAGUAAGAUGAACAAGAGAGCAACUUGUUGGAAGUAAUACAUUUGAUGUGUGCAGUCCAAUGAGUGCUGAGGCAUGCAGUGGAUAUCAUUAUGUUCUUACUUCACAGAUGAGUUGAGUAGAUGCUGAGUGUAUUUACUUGAUGAAACACAAGUCUGAAUUAUUGAAAGGUUCAAGUAAUUUCAGAGUGAAGUUGAAGAUCGUCGUGACAAGAGGAUAAAAUGUCUAUGAUAUGAUCAUAGAGAUAUCUGCGUUACGAGUUUGGCACACAAUUAAGACAUUGUGGAAAGUGUUUCACAAUUAAUACCGCCUGGAACACCACAGUAUGAUGGUGUGUCUGAACAUCAUAACUGCACCCUAUUGGAUAUGGUACAUGCCAUGAUGUCUCUUAUCGAAUUACCACUAUCGUUUAUGGGUUAGGCAUUAGAGAUAACCGCAUUCACUUUAAAAGGGGGCACCACUCAAUUCCGUUGAGACGACACCGUUUAGAGAAACCUAAGUUGUCGUUUCUUAAAAGUUUAGGGCUGCGACGCUUAUGUGAAAAAGUUUCAGGCUGAUAAGCUCGAACCCAAAGCGGAUAAAUGCAUCUUCAUAUAAUACCCAGAACAGUUGGGUAUACCUCCUAUUUCAGAUCUGGAAGCAAAAGUAAUUGCUUCUAGAAACGAGUCCUUUCUCGAGGAAAAGUUUCUCUCGAAAGAGUUGAGUGGGAGGAUGGUGGAGGCUUGAUGAGGUUAUUGAACCAUAACAUCAACUAGUGUGUAGCAGGGCACAGGAAGUUGUUCCUGUGGCACCUACACCAAUUGAAGUGGAAGCUUAUGAUAGUGAUCAUGAAACUUCGGAUCAAGUCACUACCAAACCUCGUAGGACGAUGAGGAUGCGUAUUACUUCAGAGUAAUGCGUAAUCCUAUCUUGGAAGUCAUGUUGUUGGACAGCGAUGAACCUAUGAGCUGUGGAGAAGCGAUGGUGGGCCCAUAUUCCGACAAAUGGUUAGAAGCCAUGAAAUCCGAGAUAAAUGGAUCUUUAAGAAGAAGACGGACGUGGACGGUAAUGUUACCGUCUAUGAAGCUCGACUUGUGGCAAAGAGUAUUUCCACAAGUUCAAGGAGUUGACUACGAUGAGAUUUUCUCAUCCGUAGCAAUGCUUAAGUCCGUCGGAAUCAUGUUAGCAUUAGCUGCAUUUAUGAAAUCUGGCAGAUGGAUGUCAAAACAAGUUUCCUUACCAGUUUUCGUAAGGAAAGGUUGUAUGUGAUACAAUCAGAAAGGUUUGUCGAUCCUAAGGAUGCUAAAAGGUAUGCUAGCUCCAGGAUCCUUCCAUGGACUAGAGCAAGCAUCUCGGAGUCAGAAUAUACGCUUUGAUGGAGUGAUCAAAGUUUUUGGGUUUAUACAAAGUUUGUUAGAAACUUGUAUUUACAAUAAAGUGAGUGGGAGCGCUACAACAUUUCUGAUAAGUAUAUGUGAAUGACACAUUGUUGAUCCGAAAUGAUGUAAAAUUUCUGGAAAGCAUAAAGGGUUGUUUGAAAGGAGUUUUUCAAAGGAAGACCUGGAUAAUAGCUGCUUACAUAUUAGGCAUCAAGAUCUAUAGAGAUCGAAUUUAUCCUUAGUAUGUAGUGGACUAAGGAAUUUUCUCGAUUAUGAAGGUGAAAAGGAGUUCGUCGUAAAGGGUUACGUCGAUGCGAACUUUGACACUAAUCCGGAUGACUCUGAGUAGUAAACCGGAUUCGUAUAGUAGAGCAGUUAUUUGAAAUGGCUCCAAGUAGCGCGUGGUAGCAUCCACAAGAUGACAUAGAUAUUCGUAAAGCACACACGGAUCUGAAAGGUUCAGACCCGUUGACUAAUAACCUCUCUCACAAGCAUAACAUGAUCAAACCAGAACUCAUUGAGUGUUAAUCACAUAGUGAUGUGAACUAGAUUGUUGACUCUAGUAAACUCUUUGGAUGUUGGUCACAUGGUGACGUGACCUAUGAGUGUUAAUCAUAUGGUGAUGUGGACUAGAUUAUUGACUCUAGUGCAAGUGGGAGACUGUUGGAAAUAUGCCCUAGAGGCAAUAAUAAAUAGGUUAUUAUUAUAUUUCCUUGUUCAUGAUAAUCGUUUAUUAUCCAUGCUAGAAUUGUAUUGAUAGGAAACUCAGAUACAUGUGUGGAUACAUAUACAACACCAUGUCCCUAGUAAGCCUCUAGUUGACUAGCUCGUUGAUCAAUAGAUGGUUACGGUUUCCUGACCAUGGACAUUGGAUGUCGUUGAUAAUGGGAUCACAUCAUUAGGAGAAUGAUGUGAUGGACAAGACCCAAUCCUAAGCCUAGCACAAGAUCGUGUAGUUUGUUUGCUCAGAGCUUUUCUAAUGUCAAGUAUCAUUUCCUUAGACCAUGAGAUUGUGCAACUCCCGGAUACCGUAGGAAUGCUUUCGGUGUACCAAACGUCACAACGUAACUGGGUGGCUAUAAAGGUGCGCUACAGGUAUCUCCGAAAGUGUCUGUUGGGUUGGCACGAAUCGAGACUGGGAUUUGUCACUCCGUGUAAAUGGAGAGGUAUCUCUGGGCCCACUCGGUAGGACAUCAUCAUCAUGUGCAUAGUGUGACCAAGGAGUUGAUCACGGGAUGAUGUGAGUUACAGAACGAGUGAAGAGACUUGCCGGUAACGAGAUUGAACAAGGUAUCGGGAUACCGACGAUCGAAUCUCGGGCAAGUAACAUACCGAUAGACAAAGGGAAUUGAAUACGGGAUUGAUUGAAUCCCCGACAUCGUGGUUCAUCUGAUGAGAUCAUCGUGGAACAUGUGGGAGCCAACAUGGGUAUCCAGAUCCCGCUGUUGGUUAUUGGCCGGAGAACGUCUCGGUCAUGUCUGCAUGGUUCCCGAACCCGUAGGGUCUACACACUUAAGGUUCGAUGACGCUAGGGUUAUAGGGAAAGUAUGUACGUGGUUACCGAAUGUUGUUCGGAGUCCCGGAUGAGAUCCCGGACGUCACGAGGAGUUCCGGAAUGGUCCGGAGGUAAAGAUUUAUAUAUGGGAAGUCAUGUUUUGGUCACCGGAAAAGUUUCGGGUGCUAUCGGUAAUGUACCGGGACCACCGGGAGGGUCCCGGGGGUCCACCAGGUGGGGCCACCAGCCCCAGAGGGCUGCGUGGGCCAAGUGUGGGAGGGGACCAGCCCCAGGUGGGCUGGUGCGCCCCCCCCCCCACAAGAGGCCCAGGGCGCAGGAAGGGGGGGAAGGGGGAAACCCUAGGCUUAGAUGGGCCUAAGGCCCAUCUAGUGGGGCGCCCCCCUCUCUUCCCCCCUUGGCCGCCCCCCAAGCCCCAUCUAGGGCUGGCCGCAACCCUUGGGGGGGAACCCUAGAUGGGGGCGCAGCCCCUCCCCCUCCCCUAUAUAUACUUGAGGUUUUGGGGCUGCCAUAUACACGAGAAAGUUUCCCUCAUAGCGCAGCCCUACCCCUCUUCUUCCUCCUCUCCCGCGGUGCUUGGCGAAGCCCUGCAGGAUUGCCACGCUCCUCCAUCACCACCACACCAUCGUGCUGCUACUAGACGGAGUCUUCCCCAACCUCUCCUCUCUCCUUGCUGGAUCAAGGUGUGGGAGACGUCACCGGGCUGCACGUGUGUUGAACGCGGAGGCACCGUUCUUCGGUGCUUAGAUCGGAAUCAACCGCGAUCUGAAUCGCCACGAGUACGACUCCUUCAUCCGCGUUCUUGCAACGCUUCCGCAUCGCGAUCUACAAUGGUAUGUAGAUGCACUCCCCUUCCCCUCGUUGCUAGAUUACUCCAUAGAUUGAUCUUGGUGAUGCGUAGAAAAUUUUGAAUUUCUGCUACGUUCCCCAACACUAUCUUGAUUCUGUCAUAAAAUUGUCAUGGAUGUACAUGCAUGACAGAAAAUGUGACCUACUGUGACAAACACGUAUCAUCACGGAAGUGUAUUUUUUUGUAGUGUUUGUAGAUAGUAACACUACCAUCAGUGUCCGUCUUCCUCUUGAAGAUCUAUUUAUUCUCAAUGACUUGCCGAUCAUCGGGCAAGUCCACCAAAGUCCACACUUUGUUCUCAUACAUGGAUCCUAUCUCAGAUUUCAUGGCCUCAAGCUAUCUGUCAGAAUCUGGGCUCAUCAUAGCUUCUUCAUAGUUCGUAGGUUUGCCAUUGUCUAAUAACAUGACUUCCAGGACAGGAUUACCGUACCACUCUGGUGCGGAACAUGCUCUGUUCGACCUACGAGGUCCAGUAAUAACUUGAUCCAAAGUUUUUUUUAUGAUCAUCAUCAUCUUCUUCCUCUCUAGAUGGUGUAGGCAUCACGGGAACAGAAUUCACUGAUGUGCUACUUUCCAAUUCGAGAGAAGGUACAAUUACCUCAUCAAGUUCUACUUUCCUCCCACUCACUUCUUUCAAGAGAAACUCCUUCUCUAGAAAGGAUCCAUUCUUAGCAACAAAGAUCUUGCCUUCGGAUCUGUGGUAGAAGGUGUACCCUAUUGUUUAUUUCGGGUAUCCUAUGAAGAUGCAUUUCUCCGCUUUGGGUUCGAGCUUAUCAGGCUGAAGCCUUUUGACAUAAGCAUUGCAUCACCAAACUUCAAGAAACGAUAGCUUAGGUUUCUUGCCAAACCAUACGGUGUCGUCUCAAAUGAUUUUGAUGGUGCCCUAAUUAACGUGAAUGCGGUUGUCUCUAAUGCAUAACCCCAAAACGAUAGUGGUAAAUCGGUAAGAGACAUCAUAGAUCGCACCAUAUCUAAUAAAGUACGGUUACGAUGAUCGGACACACCAUUACAGCUGUGGUGUUCCGGGUGGCUUGAGUUGUGAAACUAUUCCACAUUGUUUUAAAUGAAAGCCAAACUCGUAACUCAAAUAUUCGCCUCCGCGAUCAGAUCGUAGAAACUUUAUUUUCUUGUUACGAUGAUUCUCCACUUCAGUCUGAAAUUCUUUGAACUUUUGAAAUGUUUCAGACUUGUGUUUCAUUAAGUAGAUAUACCCAUAUCUGCUCAAAUCAUCUGUGAAGGUCAGAAAAUAACGAUACCCGCCGCGUGCUUCGACACUCAUCGAACCGCAUACAUCGAUAUGUAUUAUAUCCAAUAAAUCAUUAGCUUGCUUCAUUUUUUCGGACAACAGAGUUUUAGUCAUCUUGCCCAUGAUGCAUGGUUCGCAAGUAUCAAAUGAUUCAUAAUCAAGUGAUUCCAAAAGUCCAUCUGCAUGGAGUUUCUUCAUGCGCUUUACACCAAUAUGACUUAAAUGGCAGUGCCACAAAUAUGUUGCACUAUCAUUAUCAACUUUGCAUCUUUUGGCAUCAAUAUUAUGAAUAUGUGUAUCACUAUGAUCGAGAUUCAAUAAACCAUUCACAUUGGUUGUAUGGCCAUAGAAGGUUUUAUUCAUGUAAACUAAACAACAAUUAUUCUCUGACUUAAAUGAAUAACCGUAUUGCAAUAAACAUGAUCCAAUCAUAUUCAUGCUUAACACAAACACCAAAUUUAUUUAGGUUCAACACUAAUCUCGAAGGUAGAGGGAGUGUGCGAUGGUGAUCUUAUCAACCUUGGAAUUACAUCCAACACACAUCGUCACCUCAUCCUUAACUAGUCUGUGUUCAUUCCGCAAUUCCCGUUUCGAGUUACUAAACUUAGCAAUUGAACCGAUAUCAAAUCCCAGGAGUUGCUACGAACACUAGUAAAGUACACAUCAAUAAUCUGUAUAUCAAAUAUAUAUAUUUGUUCACUUUGCCAUCCUUCUUAUCCUCCAAGUGUUUAGGGUAGUUCCGCUUCUAGUGACCAUUCCCUUUGAAGUAGAAGCACUCAGUUUCAGGCUUAGGUUCAUCUUUGGGCUUCUUCACGGGAGUGGCAACUUGCUUGCCAUUCUUCUUGAAGUUCCCUUUCUUUUCCUUUGCCCUUUUAGUUGAAACUAGUGGUCUUGUUAACCAUCAACAUUUGAUUCUCUUUAUUGAUCUCUACCUUCGCCGAUUUCAGCAUCGCGAAGAGCUCGGGAAUCGUUUUCGUCAUCCCUUGCAUAUUAUAGUUCAUCACAAAGUUCUAGUAACUUGGUGAUAGUGACUAGAGAACUCUGACAAUCACUAUCUUAUCUAGAAGAUUAACUCCAACUUGAUUCAAGUGAUUGUAGUUCCCAGACAUUCUGAGUACAUGCUCACUGGCUGAGAUAUUCUCCUCCAUCUUGUAGGCAAAGUAAUUUGUCAAAGGUCCCAUACCUCUCGAGAUGGGCAUGAGUAUGAAAUACCAAUUUUAACUCUUGGAACAUCUCAUAUGCUCUGUGGCGUUCAAAACGUUUUUGAAGUCCCGGUUCUAAGCCGUAAAGCAUGGCGCACUACACUAUCAAGUAGUCAUCAUAUCGAUCUUGCCAAACGUUCAUAACGUUUGCAUCUGCUCCUGCAAUAGGUCUGUCACCUAGCGGUGCAUCAAGGACAUAAUUCUUCUAUGCAGCAAUGAGGAUAAUCCUCAGAUCACGGACCCAGUCCGCAUCAUUGCAACUAUCAUCUUUCAACUUAGUUUUCUCUAGGAACAUACCAAAAAAACGGGGAGCUACUACACAAGCUAUUGAUCAACAACAUAAUUUGCAAAUACUAUCAGGACUAAGUUCGUGAUAAGUUAAGUUCAAUUAAUCAAAUUAGUGAACUCCCACUUAGAUAGACAUCCCUCUAGUCAUCUUAAUGAAACGUGAUCCAAAUCAACUAAACAUCACGUGAGAUGGAGUAGUCAUCAAUGGUGAACAUCUUAUGUUGAUCAUAUCUACUAUAUGAUUCACGUUCGACCUUCCGGUCUCCAGUGUUCCGAGGCCAUGUCUGUACAUGCUAGGCUCGUCAAGUUUAACCCAAAUAUUCCGCGUGUGCAAAACUGUCUUACACCCGUUGUAUGUGAACGUAGAGUCUAUCACACCUGAUCAUUACGUGGUGUCUCGAAACGACAAACUUUCGCAAUGUUGCAUACUCGGGGAGAACACUUAUACCUUGAAAUUUAGUGAAGGAUCAUCUGAUAAUGCUACCGUCGAUCUAAGCAAAAUAAGAUGCAUAAAAGAUAAACAUCACAUGCAAUCAAAAAUAUGUGACAUGAUAUAGACAUCAUCAUCUUGUGCUUUUGAUCUCCAUCUCCAAAGCAUCGUCAUGAUCUCCAUCUCCAAAGCAUCGUCAUGAUCUCCAUUGGCACCGUCUCGACACCUUGAUCUCCAUCAUUGCGUCAUGGUCGUCUCGCCAACUAUUGCUUCUACGACUAUCGCUAACACAUAGUGAUAAAGUAAAGCAAUUACACGGCGUUUGCAAUUCAUACAAUAAAGAGGCAACCAUAAGGCUCCUGCGAGUCGCCGCUAACUUACAAAACAUGAUCAUCUCAUACAACAAUCGUAUAUCACAUCAUGUCUUGACCAUAUCACAUCACAACAUGCCCUGCAAAAACAAGUUAGACUUCCUCUACUUUGCUGUUGCAAGUUUUACAUGGCUGCUACGGGCUUCUAGUAAGAACCGUUCUUACCUAUGCACAAAACCACAACGGUGAUUUAUCAAGUUUGCUGUUUUAACCUUCGACAAGGACCGGCCGCAGUCAAAUUCGAUUCAACUAAAGUAGGAGAAACAGACACCCGCCAGCCACCUUUAUGCAAAACUAGUUGCAUGUCUGUCGGUGGAACCGGUCUCAUGAACCUGGUCAUGUAAGGUUGGUCCGGGCCGCUUCAUCCAACAAUAUCGCCGAAUCAAAAUAAGACGUUGGUGGUAAGCAGUACGACGAUCACCGCCCACAACUCUUUCUGUUCUACUCGUGCAUAUCAUCUACGCAUAGACCUGGCUCAUGAUCGUAGGGAACGUAGCAUGCAAUUUCAAAAAAAUUCUUACGAUCACGCAAGAUCUAUCUAGGAGAUGCAUAGCAACGAGAGGGGGAGACUGUGUCUACGUACCCUCGUAGACCGAAAGCGGAAGCAUUUGUUAACGCGGUUGAUGUAGUCGAACUUUUUCUUGUUCCGACUGAUCAAGCACCGAAUGUACGGCACCUCCGAGUUCUGCUCACGUUCAGCUCGAUGACGUCCCUCGAACUCUUGAUCCAGCAAAGUGUCGAGGGAGAGUUCCAUCAUCACGACGGCAUGGUGAUGGUGAUGGUGAAGUGAUCCGCGCAGGGCUUCGCCUAGCAUUACGAGAAUAUGACUGGAGGCGUAAACUGUGGAGGGGGGCGCCGCACACGGCUAGGAAUUAAUGUUGUGUGUUCUAGCGGUGCCCCCCACAUAUAUAUAUAGGUGGGAGAGGGAGAGGGGCAGCAAAGGGCGCCCCAAGUAGGAGUAAUCCUAAUUGGGCGCCUCCCACAAGUCGGCCUCCCCCCCGUUCCAUAAGUGUCGGAGGGGGAAAGAAAGAGAGAGGGGGAGAGAAGGAAAGGGGGAGGUUGAAUCCUCGCGAGCUCCUGUUCGGCGCCUUAAGCGCCCGAACAGGUAGCUCGCGCUCGCGCGCCCCACCACAUGGGCCAACCCAGGAGACCUUCAGAAAAGAAAAAGCAAAAACCGCUAGGAAAAAGUUCACGUGUAAAUCGAGAAUAGUGGAAUUCGAACUUUGAACGCCAAGGUAAAUGCACAGCAGCGUUAACCAUUAGCACAUGCUCCUUUUGUUGAUUACUAAUGGAAACAGAUCUUAUUUAUGCAUUCAUUAAGCACAAAAAUUAAACAUAUACUAGUAUUAUAUACUCACUAUAAUUAUAUUUGAAUAAAGAAAACAUAAAUUUGAAAAUGCAUUUGCAAAAUGCACCAAUUGAAAGAAAUAAACACCUCUCAAAAAGGUUUGCACGAAAUUGAAAAAAAAAUCACAAAAAUGAAAAAAUUCAUGAAUUUUAAAAAGAGUUCAUCGAAUUUGAAAAAAGUUCAUCAAUUUAAAAAAACAAAAUUUCAAAACAAUUCAUCAAAUUUAAAAAAGUACGUCGAAUUUGAAAAAAAGUUCAUCAUAUCUGAAAUAAGUUCAUAGAUUUUGAAAAAAAAAUUCAUCGAUUUUGGAAAAAAAAGUUCAUCAAUUUUGAAAAUAGUUCAUCAAUAAUGCAAAAAAAGCAUAUCAAUUUUUGGAAAAAGUUCAUCAAUUUUUUGAAUUUGAAAAGUAGUUCAUCGAUUUUGAAAAAAAGGUUCACCGACAUUGAGAAAAGUUCAUUGAAUUUGAAAACACGUUCAGCAAUUUCGAAAAAAUGUUCAUCGAUUUUGGAAAAAAUUCAAUGAUUUUGUAAAAAUGUUCAUCGAUUUAGAAAAAAGGUUCAUCGAUCUUCAAGAAAUGUUCAUUUAUUUUGAAAAAACACGAAUUUGAAUAAAAAGUUCACGCAUGUGGAAAAAAAAUAAUGAGAAAAAAAGCUGAACAAAACAGUAACCAGAAAAAAGAAAAAAAAAGGAAAAAAAUAAGAAUAAAGUUCCGCGAACUCUAGAGGAGAAAUAGGGAAAACGAUGUGAAGCCGCACAAUAAAUCGUGAUGGCCUAUUGGUGUGGACGUGCUCAUGUGAAUAAAAAGGUCUCUUGUUCGAAUCUCUGCAAUCGCACCUUUUUUUUGAAUUUUAACAGGAAAGAAAGAAAUAGUUAAACGGGCCGGCCCAGUCGCGGAGGGGGUGUUUGCUGUAGGCGCCCAUUAGCAAAAAUGGCCUGGCCUGCAGCGCUAAAUAGGGAAUGCUUGAAUCCUCUCCUUUCCUUUCUCCCUUCCCCUAUUUCCUUCUCCUAUUCGGCCUAUAUGGGGUGCACCAGCCCACUAGGGGCUGGUCUGUCCUGCCCUUGGCCCAAUAAGGCCCAUAUCUUUGCUAGGGGGGGUGCCCGGAACCCCUUCCGGUGACCCGAUACGUACCCGGUACCCCCGGAACACUUCCGGUGUCUGAAUACUAUCGUCCUAUAUAUGAAUCUUUACCUCUCGACCAUUUUGAGACUCCUCGCCAUGUCCGUGAUCUCAUCCGGGAAUCCGAACAACAUUCGGUCACCAAAUCACAUAACUCAUAUAAUACAAAAUCGUCAUCGAACGUUAAGCGUGCGGACCCUACGGGUUCGAGAACUAUGUAGACAUGACCAAGACACCUCUCCGGUCAAUAACCAAUAGCGGAACCUGGAUGCUCAUAUUGGCUCCCACAUAUUCUACGAAAAUCUUUAUCGGUCAAACCGUAAUGACAACAUACGUUGUUCCCUUUGUCAUCGGUAUGUUACUUGCCCAAGAUUCGAUCGUCGGUAUCUUCAUACCUAGUUCAAUCUCGUUACCGGCAAGUCGCUUUACUCGUUUCGUAAUGCAACAUCCCGCAACUAACUCAUUAGUCACUUUGCUUGCAAGGCUUCUUGUGAUGUGCAUUACCGAGAGGGCCCAGAGAUACCUUCUCCGAUACUCGAAGUGACAAAUCCUAAUCUCGAUCUAUGCCAACCCAACAGACACCUUCGGAGAUACCUGUAGAGAAUCUUUAUAAUCACCCAGUUACGUUGUGACGUUUGAUAGCACACAAGGCAUUCCUACGGUAUCCAGGAGUUGCAUAAUCUCAUAGUCAGAGGAACAUGUAUUUGACAUGAAGAAAACAGUAGCAAUAAAACUGAAUGAUCAAUAUGCUAAGCUAACGAAUGGGUCAUAUCCAUCAUAUCAUUCUCCUGAUGAUGUGAUCCCAUUCAUCAAAUGACAACACAUGUCUAUGGCUAGGAAACUUAACCAUUUCUAUUAACGAGCUAGUCUAGUAGAGGCUUACUAGAGACACAUUGUUUUGUCUAUGUAUCCACACAUGUAUCAAGUUUCCGGUUAAUACAAUUCUAGCAUGAAUAAUAAACAUUUAUCAUGAAUAAGGAAAUAUAAAAUAACAACUUUAUUAUUGCCUCUAGGGCAUAUUUUCUUCAGUCUCCCACUUGCACUAGAGUCAAUAAUCUAGGUCACAUCGCCAUGUGAUUUAACACCAACAGAUCACAUAUUCAUGUGAUUAACACCUAUAGUUCACAUCGGCAUGUGAUCGACACCCAAAGGGUUUACUAGAGUCAAUAAUCUAGUUCACAUCGCCAUGUGAUUAACACCCAAAGAGUACUAAGGUGUGAUCAUGUUUUGCUUGUGAGAGAAGUUUAGUCAACGGGUCUGUCAUAUUCAGAUUCGUAUGUAUUUUGCAAAUUUCUAUGUCUACAAUGCUCUGCAUGGAGCUACUCUUAGCUAAUUGCUCCCACUUUCAAUAUGUAUCUAGAUUGAGAUUUAGAGUCAUCUAGAUCAGUGUCAAAGCUUGCAUCGACGUAACUCUUUACGACGAAUUCUUUAUCACCUCCAUAACCGAGAAACAUUUCCUUAGUCCUAUUUAGGUACCUAAGGAUAAUUUUGACCGAUGUCCAGUGAUCUACUCCUAGAUCACUAUUGUACCCCCUUGCCAAACUCAUGGCAAGGUAUACAAUAGGUCUGGCACACAGCAUGGCAUACUUUAUAAAACCUAUGGGUGAGGCAUAGGGAAUGACUUUCAUUCUCUCUCUAUCUUCUGCCGUGGUCGGGUCUUGAGUCUUACUCAACUUCACACCUUGCAGCACAGACAAGAACCCUUUCUUUGACUAAUCCAUUUUGAACUUCUUCAAAAUCUUGUCAAUGUAUGUGCUUUGUGAAAGUCCUAUUAAGUGUCUCGAUCUAUCCCUAUAGAUCUUGAUGCCCAAUAUAUAAGUAGCUUCACCGAGGUCUUUCAUUGAAAAAUUCUUAUUCAAGUAUCCUUUUAUGCUAUCCAGAAAUUCUAUAUCAUUUCCGACCAACAAUAUGUCAUCCACAUAUAAUAUCAGAAAUGCUACAGAGCUCCCACUCACUUUCUUGUAAAUACAUGCUUCACCGUAAGUCUGUAUAAAACCAUAUGCUUUGAUCAUCUCAUCAAAGCGUACAUUCCUACUCCGAGAUGCUUGCACCAAUCCAUAGAUGGAUUGCUGGAGCUUGCACACUUUAUUAGCACCUAUAGGAUCACAAAACCUUGGUUGCAUCAUAUACAACUCUUCUUUGAGAAAUCCAUUAAGGAAUGCAGUUUUGACAUCCAUUUGCCAGAUUUCAUAAAAUGCGGCAAUUGCUAACAUGAUUUGGACAGACUUAAGCAUCGCUACGAGUGAGAAAAUCUCAUUGUAGUCAACACCUUGAACUUGUCGAAAACCUUUUGUGACAAGUCAAGCUUUGUAGAUUGAUUUUUCUUGCAAUGCGAAGAGUUGCUUUGUGAUGGGUUCGAUCUUGCAGUGCUCAAUCUCAGUGACAGAAAGAGACAUGACAUGCAUGUAUCAUUGCCAUUAAGGAUAAAAAAGAUGGGGUCUAUUCCUACAUGAAUAGAUCUUUUCUACAUCAUUUCAUCAUUCUUAUUGCAUCACUCCAUUUUUCCAUGAACUUAAUACACUAGAUACAUGUUGGAUAGCGGUUGAUGUGUGGAGUAAUAGUAGUAGAUGCGGGCUGGAGUCGGUCUACUAAUCUUGGACGUGGUGCCUAUAUACAUGAUCAUUGCCUUGGAUAUCGUCAUAAUUAUUUGCUCUUCUAACAAUUGCCCAAGCCCAACAGUAAUUUGUUUACCCACCGUAUGCUAUUUUUUGAGAGAAGCCUCUAGUGAAAUCUACGCCCCCCGGGUCUAUUUCCUGUCAUAUUAUUUUCAGAUCUAUUAAUUCAAAAAAUACCUUGUUGCACUUUUUAUUUAUUUAUUUUAUUUUGUGUUUUUAGAUCUAUUUAUCCAAUCUCAUACAAUUUAAUCUACAUCAAUACCAAGGAGGGAUUGAUAACCCCUCUUAGGCGUUGGGUUGCAAGUUUUUGUUAUUUGUGUGAAGGUACUGCUUACAUAGUUUGGUGGAUCCUCCUACUAGAUUGAUACCUUGAUUUCACAACUGAGGAAAAUACUUACCAUUGUUGUGCUGCAUCAUCCUCUCCUCUCCAGGAAAAUACCAACACAGUUAGCAACAAUCAACACCUUCGGCGGAAGUGAUUCAUGAGAAACGUGACUGUAACACUAAAUCAUAUAUUCGUAUGUGCUUGCGAAAGCUGCUACACUGGAUCACAUUUAAUAUGUGCUUGUAAACGUGCUUUUGAAAGUCAUGAACAAUCUUCAAACUCACGUUUUUUUGAAAUUUAGGAUUUCUUUUUGAAUUCGUGAACAAUUUUUGGAUUUCAUAAACAUUUUUUGAACUCACGAUCAUUUUUCAAAAUUAGUGAACAUUUUUUGAAUUAGUGAAGAACGAAAUUUUUUAAAACUUGUGAUUUUUUCAAAUUGGUGACCCUUUUUUGAAUCCGCAAAAUAAACUAAUUGUGAAUGGAUUUUGAAAUUAUUGAGAAUGUGUGAACAUCGAUUUGAAUUCAUAAAAUUUUUUUCACUUCCAUGAUUUUUUGAAUUUGCAAAGUUUUUCCAAAUUCAUGAACAUUUUUCCAAGAUUCACAAACAUAAUUUUAAUUUCUUUCAAAAAUUAAAAGGAAAAGAAAAAGGAAAUAGGUAAUUUUACAGUAGUAUAUUUUUGUUAUGGGGAGGUAGCAAUCUGGACUUGCACCGAAUCGACGAGGAACUUCUGGAGUGUGAGAGUGAGCCCGAGUCACUAGAGUGGUAAAUAAAUUACAGCAACGUAUUUUUGGACUUUUAUAUAUGAUUAAAAUAGACCCGGGGCCAUAGUUUUCACUAGAGGUUUCUCUCUUGAAAAUAGCAUAUGGUGGGUAAAGAAAUUAUUGAUGGGAAAUUGAUAGAAAAGUGGAUAAUCAUGACGAUAUCCAAGGGAAUAAUCAUGUAUAUAGGCAUCAUGUCCGUGACAAGUAGACCGACUCCUGCCUGCAUCUACUACUAUUACUCCACACAUCGACCGUUAUCCAGCAUGCCUCUAUAGUAUUAAGUUCAUAAAGAACAAAGUAACGCCUUAAGCAACAUGGCAUGAUGUAGACAAAGUAAACUCAAUCAAUAUGAAUAAAACUCCGUCGUUUUAUCCUUAAUGACAACAAUACAAAUAUGUGUCUUGUCCCCUUCUGUCACUCGGAUAUAGAUCACCGCAAGAUUGAACCCAUUACAAAGCACCUCUACCAUCACAAGAAAAAUCAAUCUAGUUGGCCAAACCAAAUCAAUAGAUCGGAGAGAAAUACAAAGCUAUAAUAAUCAUGCAUAAAAGAGUUUAGAUAAGACUCAAAUAAUAUUCAUGGAUAAUCUAAUCAUAAACCACAAUUCAUCGGAUUCCAACAAACACACCGCAAAAAAGUAUUACAUCGAAUAAAUCUCCAAGAACAUCAAGGAGAACAUUGUAUUGAAGGUUGAGAGAGAAGAAGCCAUCUAGCUACUAGUUAUGGACCUGUAGGUCUGUGGAAACUACUCACACAUCAUCGGAAGGGAACCAAGGUUGAUGUAGAGCUCCUCCGUGAUCGAUCCCCCCUCCGGCAAAGUGCCGGAAAAGGCCUCCAGAUGGGAUCUCACGAGAAUAGAAACUUGCGGCAGUGGAAAAAGCAUUUUGGGUGGCUCUCUGAUGUACGGAGAAUAUUUGAGAAUUUAUAGAGGCGGAAUUAAGUCAAGAGGUGCCACGAGGGGCCCGCAAGCCUAGGGGCGCCCCCCGGGCGCGCCUCCCGAGCUUGUCGCUCCCUCGUGGCUCGUCAUGUCUUCUCCUGAACCUUCUAGUGUCCCCUCUGGUCCACAAAAUAAAAUCCAAGCUUUUUCUCCAUUUGGACUCUGUUUGAUAUUGAUUUCCUGAAAAAGCCAAAAACAAGCAAAAACAGCAACUGGCACUAGGUUAAUAGGUUAGUCCCAAAAAAUGAUAUAUAAUUGCAUAAUAAACAUCCAAGAUUGAUACUAUAAUAGCAUGGAACAAUAAAAAAUUAUAGAUAUGUUGGAGACGUAUCAGGGGACAACAAGCGUGGAGGAGACAGAGAAAAGCAAUGUCCAGGCUACUACCAAGUCUAUAGCGUAAGUUCUACUCCCUUCGUCCCAUACUAUAAGAGCAUUUACACUAGUGAAAAAACGCUCUUAUAUUAUGUGACGGAGGGAGUAUCUCUCCCCCUUCUUGUUAGUUGUUCUUGUUGUUUGAGGAGAGAUGAUGUUCUUCCUGUAUGGCUAAGCCAUCCAUUUCUUGGAGAUUAUGACACAUGCAGUUUUGGUCCGAUGUGUAUAGUACAUUUCACGCAUGUUGAUUAUUCAAUUGGAUUUUGUUCCCUCACAUCAAUCAUUUACUGUGCUUCAUCCAUAUUACCUUUACCAGAGAUUGCACGGACGCAUGCUCUGUCCAUUGUAUCAUGCCAUGCUCUACUCUCACAUGCUUUUUUCAUAAUGUUUACAAACUAGAAAUCAUUUUAUCUUACAAACCAAAAUUCCAAUUGAAGAUCCAUUUGCAUAUGUGUGCUUCUAGUGAUGAGGGCUUUCAAACAAGACCAUUCUCGAAUAUAUUUUGACAAGUUUUAGAAAUCAAAUUUCAAAACAUGGUGAAACUCUAUUAAACAUGGUCUCGUUUAGAAAUUCACCAAAACAUAUUCCUGUCUAAUCUUGUUUAAAAUGUCUUGUUGACAAGUCGUACUGGAGCUUUAGGAUCUUCCUUGGGUGGUGCUUUGUCCCGAGCCUUGGUGUAGUUGUACCUGACUUCUUCCUGGGCAUGCAAUUUGCAAGGAAGCAGCUGCAAGAAUAGUUGGUAGAGACGUUCUUCGCCUUGGUGUACAAUGAGAUGACAAAGGAGAAGCCCAAAGAGUAUCCGACAUUGGUCGUGGUCAGGUUGUGGCUGAAGCUGGUUUCAGAUGGUUACUCAAGAAAUUGAUCUUUCAGACGCGCCCAAAACCUGACUAAGUUCUCAUUGUUUAUUUCAUAUCCAUUUCCCAUCGUUGAAUCCCAUGUUGAACUAUUUGGCAUGAUUAAUCUACAUCCUCAACAACUAUUUGGCAUGGCUAAUUAAGUUUCAUCCUCAACAACCGGUUUUAGAUGGUUACUCAAGAAAUUCAGUUUAACAAAACAUAUAUGGCAUGACCUAGCAUUUCUUUAUUGAUUUAUGUUGAACUAUUUUACUUUUAUAAAACUUAUUUUAUGAAAGUGUGAUCACAACUAUUAUUUAUCACUUAGAUUCUACGCAUUCUAGUGAACAUUAACAUGAUUUUGCGUUAUACAAUUAGAACUUCUUCCAUUGAUAAUACACGUCAGCUCAACAUAACCAUAUUAUUGCAUAGGAAAUGAGUUUCUUACUUUUUCCCAUCAAUAACAUUUUGUUAAACUGAAUUUCACUAUAUUGGGGAAAAAUUAAAAAAACAUCCAUUGAUUAUUUUUUGCCACAUAGAUGGAUUUUAGGUAUAUAUGUAUAUGAUAGUAUGUAUGUUUUUGUAUCUUGAAAUAUCUUUGGAGAUAGGUCUACGUAAGCUCAAGCAAAUAUCAGGGCAAGUUGCAUUUUUAUAUAUCUUAUGUGUGAAUAUAACUUUCUAGGUAUAGUAAGGUGUCUACAAGGGGUUUAUACUUGGUAUUGAAUAGCAUUGGUCAACUCAAUAGGUAUCUCAUGGGUGCUUGGUAAAACAACACCUUACUUAUAUGUAUGCAUGAUUGUUUUGUAUAUAUUGUGCUUCUUAGUUUGAUUUGUAUUCAAUUUAAACCUAGAUAUAAAAGUGACUGUAUCCAUAUAUUUCAUUCUUAAGAAAGUCACAUCAAAAGAUAGAAUCACAACUUGUAUAUUCUAUUGUCAUACUAUAGGAAGUUUUGAUUCCUUCUGUACACAUCAGUUAGACCCUAUAACUGAAAGGCCCAAGGUGAGCACCCUCGCUGCUCUACUCUAGGGUUUGCUCCUCGGAUUUUCAUAGGGAUGUUGAUACUAUUAGAUACUAGUUGUAAUAAUGUCAUUAUCUAUGCCAAUCUUGAUCCUCAUAUUAUGCCUUUUUUUAUGUCAAAAGGGAAAUAAAAGUGGGUCAUGAUAUAGCAGUUGGUAUAACAAAAAUAAGACCUCUCAUAGCGGGUAGUAUCAUAAUUUAGUAUCAUGUAUAUGAUAUUGCCUCUAUAGUCACAAUACGCUUUCCGUCCAGGUUUAAAAGGUCAUCUGGUCAAAAUGCGGAGGCUAAGGCGAGAUUAAUUCCACGUACCCCAGAUUAUCAAACUUGGAAAGCCACCCUCCUCUCGUGGGGUGAGAGACUCGCUCGUGUUCGCCAUGUGCCACGGCCAUGCCAGUGCACAUUCUACUCGCCAUGACCAUAAACCCUUCAAUCCUGAAGAAGAUCACCACUGUGGUGCGUGACUUUUUGUGGCAUGGUCAUAAGGACGCCAAGGCCUGUUGCUGCCUCGUUAGUUGGUCGAAUAUCUCUAGACCACUGGAGCUUGGAGACAUGGCUGUGGUCGAUCUUCACCGCACGAGCAUCACGCUUAGGGAUCGCUGGCUUUGGCUACAGGCUGCGGACCCCAAUCGCCCAUGGAAUCAUAUACAACUCCCCAGAGACGAGGAGACCAACCAGUUCUUUCGCACUUCCAUGACCCGGACCUUGGGGGAUGGCCAUACUUGCCGGUUCUGGCCUGACCAUUGGCUCUAGGGACUGUCCGUUGCCGAGAUCGCGCCUACACAUCUACCCCACAGUCCACGCAGGCGGAGGCGCUGCAGAUCGGUGUGCGAUGGGAUCACUGACGGAUCCUGGAUCCGCGAUAUGCAUCCUUCCCUGGGACCAGCCGCCACGAUCAAAUACUUUGGUCUAUGGUCGCGUAUUCAACAGAUCGAGCUUUCUGACGUGCCCGACAAGAUCUCUUGGAACUUGACCCAGAACGGGCAAUACACGACUGGCUCCACCACCGCGCCCAAUUGGCGGCCCAUAUGGAAGUGUUGGUCACCGAUGAACGUCAAGUUUUUUCUCUUGUUAGCCUCCCUGGACCGCUGCUGGACUGCGGAAUGAAGAGCGCGCCAUGGUUAAUUCACGACCCUCUAUGCAAGUUGUGCAGCCAGGAGCUUGAGACCAUUGAUCACCUGUUUGUCCAGUGCGUCUUGUCGAAGAUCACCUGACAUGAGAUAUUAUCCUGGUGUCGCCUCCCGGUGCUUUUGCCAAGCGCCGACGCGACCUUCUUCCCGUGGUGGUCUGGCUCGCUUGCCGCUUCUCCGGCAAGUUUGGGGAAGGGCCUCAACUCUCUUAUAGCCCUAACCGCAUGGAGUAUCUGGAAGCAUCGAAACACCGCUCUCUUCAACGACCUUCGGCGAUCUACCGGCGAGCUCGUCCGCACAAUCAAGGAGGAGGCUCGGCUUUGGGCAAAAGCUAGAGCUCAAGGACUAGCACUAGUUAUUCCUGUAGUCUAGAAUGAUUGUAUCGAGGCUAAGCAACCUCCAACAUGCUCAUGCUACGUUUUCAAGCGUUCAAGAAUAAGCAUGGGAGUCGAAUAGAGAUGGCACUUGGAAACUACCGUUGGUAUUUCAUAUUUCGCAUUGUAUAGAAUGAAAUCAUCGAUAGGGCUCGCCCCGAAAAGAGGAUGUUGCGAACACCGGUUCGUGCACACCCCCUCGAGAUGAACCUUGUACGUUCUCUUCACCUAUCAAUGAAACGAUAUACAACAAUGCGUAUUUACGAAAAAGUACCUUUUUUUGAAUCUGCAAAUAAAAACUAAUUCGUGAAUGGAUUUUGAAAUUCUUGAACAUUUUUUAAACAUGUGAACAUCGAUUUGAAUUCACAAACUUUUUGUCAUAUCCAUGAUUUUUUUUUGAAUUUGAAAACUUUUUCCAAAUUCAUGAACAUUCUUCCAAGAUUGACGAACAUAUUUUGAAUUUAUUUAAAAAAUUAAAACGAAAAGAAAAAAGGUAAUUCCUUUUCUUUUUACAGUAGUACUAUUUUUUUUUAGAACAUAUAUUUUUGUUAUGGGGAGCCAGCAAUCUGGACAUGCACCGAAGCGACGGGAAGCCCGAGCCCGAGUCAGAUAGGCGGUCGGCCCACUUGGCGGCUGGGUGGGUUAAAAGGGGUAGGAUCCGGCACCAUCGCUGCCGUGUUGGAGAUCGAGAGAAGGAAACCCUAGCCGCCGCCGUCCAGAUCUGCUUGGGUUGGUGGAGGUAUGGCUACGGCGCUGCGCACCAUGGCCGCGAAGCUGAUGCAGAAGAUCCCCGCCGCUGUCCAGCGGGUUCGCGUCUCUUCUCGUGCUCCGGUUCGUUCCCCAUCUCGAUUUUCUCGCCCCCUUCUGAGUCUUUGAUUGAUACAAUCGAAUCGAUUGAUAAAGACAUGUUGCGUUGCACGAUUAGUCGGAUCCAUCCGUCUCCCUCCCCUCCCCUCCCCUCCGACGGGAGUUUGUUGCAUGUUCUUGGAGUAGUGAUGGAGGCACGAUAGGCCCUGCUGCUUAGGUUGUUGGGUUAAAUAAAUUCUGAUGAUAUUAGCAAUCGGAAUCAUCUUUCUGUUACCAGGAGACACCAGCCAGAUGUUCUUAGCUAUUUUGAUUAAAUUAGCAAUGUAGUUUCAAUUGCUGGAAUUUCUGAAUGUUCUUCUAGAAUCCUGAUGAUUUUGAGAUUUCGGACAGACUGAUGAUAGUUGCUGCCAAACUUUAAGUUUGUGUUAAACCUUGUAUAUUUAGCUUGGUGUUUUGAACUGAAAAUACCAAAUUUUACCAAUGAACACCACUCAUCCAAACAGGAUUCACUACUUGUUUUUGGAAAUCAUCAUGCGCCAUCCAGUCCAGAAUCUCUCUGUUGCCCUAGACAGACGCAAUACAUAUAUAUAUGUGUGUGUGUUUUAGUUGAAAUUAUCCAUGUCAUUUCGCAUUCAGCGGCCCCAGUUUUAACGAUUCAAACUCUACUGCAUGUAGGCACCGGCUUUUGCCGACCUCGACCCCUUCGGCCCAGAGUUUCGGUAAGCCACUAAAAACAUGCAAGAUUGUCGUCUGAUUGAUUCCUUCAUUGCGCAACACGUCCUAACAUUCAUUCUCCUUCCUCUUUGGAAGCCGGGCACUGGAGAAGAUUGUAGAGAAACACAGGAAGAGGCGCAGGAACGAGGCCUUGGCCUGUGGUGCUGGCUUCAGUCUUGGAGCACUCACCUUUUUGCUUGGGGUCCAUCGGCUUCGUUGAAGGGAGAUGGCUCAAUGGUGAAUGACUGGAAUAUCUAUCCUGCACCGCAUGUUCUACUAUCUACUACUGUGCCCGCAAGUUCUACUAUCUACUAGUGCUAUAUCCUGCACCCCAUAUGUUCUGCUAUCUACCAGUACUAUAUCCUGUAUGUUUAACUAGCCGGUGUACUCUAUAAUUCCUGGCUUGUGUCUACCUAUCUAGUAGCCACUGUGGGGAUCUAAUUUCGGUGGUUGCAUGUGGGAUGUAAGAGCACUCUAUCGCCACUCUUAUCUGUUGUUAUCAGAGAUC